CGCAAUCCGACGACGACGCCGCCGCCGCCGCCCACGACGCCCGCGUCGUCGAGGACAUCGACCGCAUCCUCCGCGAGAUCCGCUCCGACGAAGACGACGACGACGAGGGGCGCUUCCCCCCUCCCCUCACCAACUCCACCUCCACCUCCACCUCCGCCUCCCUCGCGAACUCCACUUCCGGCGCCAUUGCCAGCAACUACACCCUCGGCCCGAAGAUCUCGGACUGGGACGCCCAGCGCCGGCUCUGGCUCCGCCGGAACCCUGGCUUCCCCUCCCGAACCCCCGCCGGGAACCCUCGGAUCCUCCUCGUCACCGGAUCCCCGCCCAACCCCUGCGACAACCCCCUGGGCGAUCACUACCUCCUCAAGGCGACUAAGAACAAGAUCGACUACUGCCGCCUCCACGGCAUCGAGAUCGUGUACAACAUGGCGCAUUUGGACCGGGAGCUCGCCGGGUACUGGGCCAAGCUCCCGCUGAUUCGCCGGCUCAUGCUGUCGCACCCGGAGGUGGAGUGGAUCUGGUGGAUGGACAGCGACGCGCUCUUCACCGACAUGGCCUUCGAGAUCCCGCUCUCGCGCUACGGCGCCCACAACCUCGUCAUCCACGGCUACACCGAUCUCCUCUUCGAUCAGCAUUCCUGGAUCGCGCUCAACACCGGGAGCUUCCUCCUCCGCAAUUGCCAGUGGUCGCUGGAUCUCCUCGACGCCUGGGCGCCGAUGGGACCCAAGGGGCCCGUCCGCGACGAGGCCGGGAGGAUCCUCACUGCCAAUUUGAAAGGCCGGCCGGCGUUUGAGGCCGACGACCAAUCGGCCCUCAUUUACCUGCUGCUCAUGCAGAAGGAGAAGUGGGUCGACAAGGUCUUCGUCGAGAAUUCGUACUAUCUCCAUGGCUUCUGGGCCGGCCUCGUGGAUAAGUAUGAAGAGAUGAUGGAGAAGCACCACCCGGGGCUCGGGGAUGAGCGGUGGCCCUUCGUGACCCACUUCGUCGGGUGCAAGCCCUGCGGUAGCUACGGCGAUUAUCCGGUGGAGAGGUGCCUCAAUAGCAUGGAGAGGGCGUUUAAUUUCGCCGACAAUCAGGUGCUUCGGCUCUACGGAUUCGCUCACAAGGGACUAUUGAGCCCUAAGAUCAAGCGGAUCAGGAACCAGACCACAAAGCCUUUGGUGGUGAAGGAGAACUUGAAUCUCGAAUCAAAAAUAUCCACUCGUUGAUUUCUGCUUUUGCCGGAGGUAAGAAAGGUUUAUGGGUAUCUGUUGUAAGAUGGGAAGGAAUUUAGGUAAAUUAAUUGAGGCUUUACGGUUCAAUGCAUUAGAUCUAUACCUCUGCUUCUUAAGGAUGGCAUUUACGCUUUGCAAGAUUUUCUCUUAGAUGUAAGGUUUUCUCUUUCAGAAGGGAAUCGAAGUAGAACGCGAAGGAUAUCUUCUCGUGUUGUCACUAAAUGGUGUACUAUAUGUAUGUUGAUUCUUUUGAUCACUCAGCAUGAAUUAAUGAAAGGAGAAUUUCAAACAUGUUAAAUUCUUGUCCAUUUAAAGAUAGAUAGUACUGACUUGUGACAGAGCUACGUUUUGUUGGUGAAAAUUCGUGAUUAAUAGAGAAAUUACUCCUUUGCAUUUAUACACUAUCAGCAUUUUAUUGUUGACUCUUCUGGUGCUCCAUUGCAAUUUUAGUAGGGUCUGUAAACUAAGCUGAGAAAUCUUAUCUAUUUGAAUUAUUCUCAUCAAAGGCCUUUUGAUGACUAGCCUAUUGCUGGGAUAUUUGAGAUUAAUUAACCGCACACUUCUACUUUUCUAUCUUGCAAUGGAAAAGUACAAUGUUGCUGAGCUCUGCAUAUCUAGCAUGCUAUACUCGGGAAGAAGAGUAGACUUGUUUGUACUACAUGCCUGGCUAGUUGUCACAUUAGUAUUUCUACAUCUAAGUCCCUCUCAUGUUGUUUAGACAUUAAAUCUGGAGACUAGUUGUUUCUACGCUCCUUUAUCUGCUCAGCUCUGGCUUGGUUUGUCUUAUGCUUAGAAAUUCAUGAUGAAAGAAUCGCAAGUCAAACUAUCAAUAGAUGCACUGUUGAAGCAGGACCAUCCGUCCAUUUUAUAAUGACAUUACUAAGGCUUCUUAAUUUUCAAAUCAUGUAAACAUGUUUUAAUAGUAUCCAAAGCCCGGCAAUAUAUUUCAUAUGUUGCCAAAUCUUCUCUGUGUACGACAAUAUAAGCAAAUUAAGAAAUGCUUAAUCAUAAUGGAGGGGUAGCUCCAUAUAGUUAGAGUUUUAGUUGCAAAUUAAAAACCAUUAGAACCUUGUUUCAGAUACGACUCGUGAUGUUUUUAGAUGAUCAUCAUUUUUGGCACUUAGGAUGAAUGACACAGCACUUAUGAUUUACUGCAUCAGUCUUUAUUCAUUUUCCCCUUCUUCCUCGACUUUACAUUCUGCUAGAGAUCCUUCUUUCCCAGGUAAAAAAGAGAAACUUCUCUGGGAAAAACAAUGAUAGCCCUUUUGACGUCAUCACUGAAGAGCAAUAGCCUCGCCAAAUCUACUUUCUGGCUUAUGCGUACACUGAAAAGUUCAACGAAAGAAAAAAAAAAAAAAAAUGGCAUUUUUCUGACUAGUUCUGAAGAUGCGCCCUUUUGGGGUUCCCUUUGUUCUUCUGGAAUUCCUUCUGCAUUUCUUUCUUCUUUCCCCCCCUCUACUUUGCCCCAUUGUAACUGCAACUUUGUCUCAAUUUAAUUGUAAGAUCAGUGAUGUCUUAUUUGAUGAGCAGUGUGGGACAUUCACUUAGUGAUCUUACAAUGUCUCUUCCCCUCUAUCUCUACCAAUCUGACCAGGCAAGAACACGAGAGGAGGAUUUGUGGUGUAUUCUAGUGUCUGAGGUAGAUUAAAUGCAGUCCAAAACUCUUCCACGCAGACCUCUCCUCUCUAUUUUAAGCUUUCCUGCGCAGCUAGAUAUUGUCUGGAUGAUCUUGGGAUGGUCUUCUUAUUUAUCAAUGGUUAACGAUUCUUUAAAUGAAAAAAUCAUGGUCCCAUGAUUCCCAUCAAGAGAAAAUAACCGAAAUUAGGCUUCACAUUUAUACAAUUAUACUUUGGAAAUAUCAGGUUAGUUGACUAGAUUAGUAGAAACUUCAUUUCUGGGUGUUCUCAUACUCUUUUUUGAUAUGGUGUACAAUAUAUACAUGUGUGAGAUUUAUUACUCUAUGCACCUUAUCAAUCUAUUAGUUCUCAGUUACAUUUUUGGAUAGUAAAAGAUUUAUUUAGUUUCAGAUUUACCUUCAAGUUUGGUUUUCCUUUGUAGAUACAGUUCGAGUUCCAAUUUAAUAAUUAAAAUAAGCCAUUAGCUAUAUUAUGUGAUUGUAGAUAAUCUCGUGCAUUUGAAACUGUGCUUGAAGUCUUUAGACUCCAGAAGCCUUUCUCUAAGUGCCAAUUUAAGGCUAGCUUCCUGGAAAAUCUCUCAAUUUUUUUGGCCCUCUUUGGAUGCUGGAUUGAGUUCUUAUAGCUAAGUAGUUUGACUUUUAAGAGGUGGUUGAGCCUUACUAUUUCCAGCUCUCUGGGGUAUUAGUUUCUCUCUCUCUCUCUCUCUCUCUCUCUCUCUCUCUCUCUGUGAAUUGAUUCUUAAUCACCGGUUGAACUUUCUUAUGCCCAUUAUCAACCAUCAUAUACAAUCUUGAUUCUUCAAGAUAUCAAAGUGUAAAAAAUAUAUUCAAAGUCAAGAUCAUAGUUACCAGUAUGGAUCUCUCUAAAAGAUCCUAGUAUUAGUCUUUCAGCAGGAAAUGUUAUUGUCCAAAUGCUUUUGAAAGUAUUCUACACUGUCUCCCUCCCUCAUUGUGUGUCUAACUAUCUGUAUACGCUGGCAAUCAAAUGUAUGUGCUCACACUUAACACAUGUAUGUUUUUAUGUGUUUGUUGUCUAACCACUUUUGAAAUUUUCUUGUCACCUCAGGUGCCAAACUUCCAUCAUCCAAUUCUGUGUUUCACCGAGUUUAUUACCCUGACCAAAAUAGAAUUGACGGAGGUAAUCCUUGUUUCUUGCAACACCUAUGCUUGAAUUUUUCUGGUGAUUUCUCUGUUCCCAACAUAUGCAGCAUGGUCACCCAUAAAGCUUCUUUCUAUACUUCAAUAACUUUGUUUGAGCAAAUGAAAACGUGAUGACUGUGUAUAGAGAAGUGAAUGGGGACAAAAUCUCGUGUUAUUUCAUUGUAUUAUCCUUUUUUAAUUUUGCCUUAAGAAUAUAGCAAACAUGUGGAUUCCUGUGUAUGAUUGCUUGUAUUAUGCAGAUGUCUUCAAUUUUCUUGUUCCUUCAUAAAUAAUUGUUUGUUUAGUAAUUUCUACAAAUUCUUUGUAUACACAAAUCAUUGGUAGUUAUUUGUUCACGUUUCAAUUUUUACUCAAAAAAAUUAUUAUGAUGUUGAUGAAAUUUCAAUUUCAAGUGGAGUAAACUAAGUCUUUCGUCGAGUAAAAUUAUUCUUCCCUGAUCUUCAUUUUUGGCGCACUUUUUCAUAUCUUGAAUACAACUAGGUGUGAUCAAACAAAAUGAUAAUGCGAAGUUUUGGAGGCUGUCCUAGUCUUGGUUUUUGUUUUCUAAUCUAAUGUUAUCAUUAUCUUCUGUAAACUAAUGUGAUAGACCAAUUGCUCCAAAGGGGUUAUGUGAGUAAUAAUCAUAAUCUUUUAAGUGAAAUUGGUGCAAAUCGUAUCCCAAGAGUGACAUCUGUUUCUCUUGCAUAGUUGCUUUAGUUUUUCUUAUAGACUGAUUUUCGCUGGUAAUGAAUGUGCCUAAGAGCCUCUUUGGUUCGUCCAUUUACCAUUUUGUUACUUUAUCUUAUGCGCAUUUAAUUUGAUUUCAAUGUUCUUAUUAAAUGGGACUAGAAGAACAAGGAUGGUAAUGUUUCGAAAUAUCAGAUCUCUAUAGCCUCUUGUUCCGAACUAAUGACCACAAUGCUAACAUAAAGUUCAUGUGAUAUUUUGAAAUACUUUUUAAGUAUUUUCUGAUCAAACCCAAUCCUUGAAUACUGUUAGAUGUGACUCGAAAUUGGUAAUCAAUUUCAGUUCGAGACUUCAACUCGCCGAUAGUUUUGCGGUGCGACAUUUGAAAAUAAAUUUAUGAAGAAAAAAUAAAUAUCUGUGGUGGGUAGCGAAGGGCUCGAACCGAUAGAUAGGAUCGGAAUCAAAAUUAAUUAAGAGAUUUCUUUCUUGUUUUUGCCCUAGAGGCGAUAGAUUGUGGUUGGUUGUACUUUGAACAUUGUAUUCCUUUUUUUAUGGUGAAGUUCCUUCCUUCUCCGUCCGUAAUUUUUUCCUGCAAAAUUUUUUUCACAUAAAUCUGUGUGUUUUUUUAUUUUUAUUUAUGAUUUGUUUAUUUUAUAUUCAUCAUUUUUGUUUUCAUAUGUGUGCUUGUCAUGACAAACACGAUGUAAACUAUGUGUCGACAUGGAUUGUUUUUUUCUCUAUCACGUCUAUUCUUCAAUGUAGAUGAGGUUCACUCUCCAACAACCGUUUAAAUUACAAUUGUCCUACAUUGAUGCCACAAACAAAUAUUUUAGUGGGAUGAUUUGGUGCUUCUAUGUAGUUUUCUAUUGUUUUAGGUGAGGAAGUUAUUAGAGCUUUGAAAAAAAAAAAAAAAAACUAGGUUGGAGGAAAGUGCCUUUUUAGCUUGUGGAUUUCCAUCAGAGGAAUGAGAUGAAUCAUAAUAUCCACUCAUGAAGUGUUACUGCAAAUAUUGGACUUUGGGACUGCAAAUAGGUAUAUGAGUAGUUAUAGGGGAUAAUCAUAAAAGGAAAGUACAAUGUUUUACUUUAGAUUGAGGAGAUUGAUUUGAUUGACUUCUUUAGAUUGAGGAGAUUGAUUUGAUUGACAUCAAAGGUCAGGUUUUUUAUUUUUGGAUAGAAACAUCAUUAUCCUCACCAAUCAUCAGCAUCAGAAUCAAAGGUUUUUGAUGCCAUAUCAAAGAGGUGAUUAUAAAUUUUGUAAUUUUUAUCUGAUUUUGGAAGCUGAUAUAGCAUUACUUAGAUAUUAAUUCCCAUCAUCAUUACUUUAUUCUCCUAAUCCAACUUUUUUAAAAAAACUAAAACUAUUAUAGUAGUAAAAAUCAUUAAAAAAAGACAAUUGUUUAUAUAUUUCUGAAAAAUUUCUGAUUUUCUGAUUUGUCUCUCUGAGAAGACUAAUAUUAAAAAUAUCUUUUUUAUAUUUCAAGUUAUUUUCAAUAUAUCCCUACUAGAGUUAAACCCUGUUAAUAAAUUAUUAGCAAUAGCCGUUAUCUCUGUGAAAUUACUAUUUGCUAUUUCAAAUAUACUCUUCUACUGUCAUCAAUUUUUCUAAUUUGUCCUUAAGUCAGAGGCAAAAGAAGUAUUCUGAUUUUUGGCUUUUUCGAAUAUGCCUUUCUAUCAUCACCAACUUUUUUUAUUUGCCCUUAAGUUAAGAGCAAAAAAAGUAUAUUGAUUUUUUUAAAGUCUGGUAGAUAUUUAGGGCGUGUUUGGCUCGAAGUCGAAGUCGAAGUCGGAGUCGGAGUCGGAAUCGGAAUCGAAAUCAAAAUAAGCUGGAAUCGGAAUCGGAAUGACUCAUUACCUAAUUCUGUUUGGUUCAUUACCUGAAUCGGAAUCGGAAUAAAUCAUUCCCAUUGUCGGUAUUUGGUUCAGAUGGAUAUAAAAGCGUAAUUAAAUUAAUAUACUAACAUUAUCUUUAUAAUAUAUUAAUUUAAAUUCAAAUUAAAUAUUAAAUAUUAAAAAUUUACAUCAAAAUUUUGAAAUAAUGUCAAAAUUUUAAAUCUAUUUUUUAAAAAAAAAAUAAACUUUGAAGUUGAAUGGAUAAUUCAAAAUAUGAAACUAAAUUUUGAUUUAUUCAAAUUCAAAUUUAAAAUUAUAAUUUAAAUUUUAAUUUGAAUUCAUAAAUUUAAUUUAAGUUUGAAAUAAAAUUUGAAUAAACUUUAUAUAAAUUAAAAUUUAAUUUAAAUUCAAAUUCAUAAGUUAGAUUCGAAAUACUUGAUUAAAUUUUAAUUUUUAAUUUAAAUUAAAAUUAAAAUUUAAAACUAUAUAUUUAAUUUUUAAAUUUUAACUCAUAUUUUAAUUAAAAAAGUUGAAAAAAUAAAUUUAAUCUAAAUAAAUAUCCAUUCCGUUCGGAUUCAACUUCCAAUCCGGUCUUCUAAGCCGGAUUGAAAAGGUUGAUUGAGCGAUUCCCAUUCCACUUGGAAAUCAGAAUCGGAAUAGAACUCUCACGUACCAAACACCGACAAACGGAUUCACUCAUUCCCAUUCCGAUUCCAUGGUGAAAAAGAAGCAAACUAAAUACGCCCUUAACUUACGUUAACUCGAAAUAACUUAAACGGAUAAUAAUUACGAGAGUAUUUUUAAAUAAUAAAAAAAUAUAUGAGAGAUAUAUUAGAAAUAAAAAGAAAGUACAAAUAAAUUAGAUAUUUCUAAAGUUUCGGAGGAUACAUAUACAUCAUUAUCCCCCCAAAAGAAUAAAGAAUAGAGAAAAAUAAAAUUAAAAAAAAAAAAAAGAGAGACAGGAAUAGUGAGAUUAGCGAAGCGAUCCUUAUCAGAGGGAGAAAAGCACAUGGUAUUUUCCCCCACCUCUUAAUAAUGAUGUGGCACGUACGAAUUUCUUGUGUUAAUAAUUAUUGGAAGGUUGUUUAGCUUCAGGGGCCACAAGUCACAAUUGCCUCGUACAAGCUAGGCCCCUCCUUUCUCCCAAUUUACGACGAAGCCCUAUGGCUUAGCUAAAGAGCAAUGUCCCAUGUAUCCUUUUAUACUUUAAAAAGAUGUAUUUUGACCGAUCGUCCCUACAGCAAAUGGCAAAUGACUUGAUGAUUGGUAUCCGAGACCUAAGUUCGAAUUUUAGUUAAUCCACAUUUUUAGCUAAAUUUAUUUCUAAAUGAUGUAUUUUGCAAAUUUCACCAAUUUAAUGAAUAUAAUAUUUUACUAGUUACAUCAAAUUACUAAUGAAUGACAUCACGCCUAUUGAAUGGAUGCAAUAUAAAAUAUGCAUCUUUUUUAGGAUGUAUAAGUAGGUUUUUUUUUCUAAAUUGAAUUGUGAGAUUAGACAUUCUUUGGGCAGCGUUUGGUUAGGAGAUAUGAAUAGGAAUAGACCCUUAUCCCCCUUUUUAUAUCCAAACGCUAAUUUUUUACUCGAGAAUAGUAGUUCUCGGUUAUCUCUACCAACACCUUUAUUUUCUAUAUAAAACUAUCUAAAAUUGUUCUUAUUUCCGGAAACAACCCAAUUUUCAUCCAAACACUAUUUUUCUUAUCUCCAUACUUGUAUCUAUCUCUGUAAUAGCUAGUUCUUGCUUAUACCCGAACCAAACGGUACCUUAGUACACAGGGCUCGCGGUCAUAGAAAUACAUGGGCGCGUUGCCCCAAAGAGAGAGAGAGAGAAAGGGGUCGUAGGAAGAAGGGAAAAAAUAUUUUUUUCCGUCACUAUCUCCACCAGACUCGUCUUUGCGAGAGAGAGAGAGAGAUAGAGAAUGAGGGAUGAUAAGAAGAAGGGAAAGAGUACUUUUUUCCGUCGCUAUCUUCACCACACUCAUCUUCACUGAAAGAUUCUUCAUAAUAUUUUAGUUGGAGAGAGAGAGGAAGAAGCAAAAGAGAGUAAAAAAAUAAAUGAAGAAAAUUUGUUUUUCAGCUUUCGUGAAUAGAAGGAAAGAGAGAGCCUUACGUCUCCAAAACGUGGAGAAAAUGAUCCACAAUUUUUUUUUUCAUCUUAAAUUUUAUUCCACUGUAAUUUAUAAGUUUCUUUUGUGCCCAUUCAAAUAACCAUAUUUUAGAUCUCAUUCCAAUAGACAGUAAAUAUUAUUAUUUGUGGUCUCCAUUGCUGAUUGAAAUAUUAAUCAAUUAAGUAAUUAAUUUGUGAGGAUAACAUAACAUGCCAACAAGCUAAAUUUUUUUCUUUUUAGACAACUGAAGCAGCUGCUGGAACCCUCUACUAUAACUGUAGCAAUACUUUAGAAAGUAAGUAGACUUGUAAUUUAUCUUUUUUCUAAAAAAAAAAGACCUGAUAAGCUCUUUUGAUUUGAAAAUAAAUUUUGUUUGUUUUUUUUUUAAAAAAAGGAUUUGAAAGCUUUUGGAGGGAAAGAAAGAUCCAAGGAGAUUGAGCUCCCCAAUGCGGUGACAGUGUGGGGUGCUGUCACUCUUUCUUCAAUGCAGGUAAGUGUACUACAUUGCUGCAUGUUUGAUGAGAGAGAGAGAGAGAGAGUAUUGUGUGUGUGUGUGUGUGUGUGUGUGGUUUUCACAGAUUUUGAUUCCAUCUACAUGGAAAGGAUCGCCAAGUUGUUUAAUGAUCCAAUCAAUAAGUGUUGCCUCCAAGUUCAUUUAUGGUGGCAACUUUUACUCGUGGUCUCUUCUAUCUCCUAAUUGGCUCUGGAUUUUGGUGCCCUCCAAAACUCAAUUGUGGUGUGCUGUUUUUUCUUUUUUCUUUUUUUUUCCAACCAUAUAUAUAUAUAUAUAUAAUAUUAUAUAAUUGAGCUAGAAUAUUUUACAGAGUAUACCUCUAUGAUGCUAUUAGGUUUUAGCCAUUGGAUCUACUCCUUGAUUAUUAAUAGUCCUUGGAUCAAACACUAUUCCACCUACCACCACGUACCACUAUUAUCUCAACCUCACAUUUCUCCAUCCAAUGACUAAAAACUCAAAAGCACCACUCAUAUAAUACUUUUACAAGUAUUCUAGCUCAACUCUCUCUCUCUCCUCCUCUCCUCUCUCUCUCUCUCUCUCUAUAUAAUAUAUAUAUAUAUAUAUAUAUAUAUAUAUAUAAUAGUCCGGCUACUAUACUAUCGAUAGUACCAAGUCUUUGGUACUAUUGAGUUUUCUAACUUUAGAUCUAGCCUUCAACCAUUUCAUCUGUUAAAUUAUACUAUUAAACCAACCACUCCACCAACCCUAGGGGACCACUAUUAAUUUAACCGGGGACCACUAUCAUCCUAACCGCAUAUCUUUUUAUCCAACGGCCGAAAAUCAAUAGUACCAAAGGCCUGGUAAGGCCUGGUACUAUUAAUAGUAUAGUAGCAUAAUUCUAUAUAUAUAUAUAUAUAUAUAUAUAUAUUAUAUAAUAGAGUCGGUUAUGAUGCUUGUAAAAGUAUCAAGCACUUGGUGCUUGUAAAUUCUUUACCAUUAGAUCUAUACUUUGAUCAUUUUCACCCGUUAGAUUAUAUUAUUCAACCAACCACCCACUCAACCCUAGGUGCCCACAUCAUCCUACCGCACAUUUCUUAAUCUAAGGGCCGAAAACUUACAAGCACCAAUGAUUUGGUAUUUUAGAAGUAUAGGACUCAAUUCUAUAUAUAUAUAUAUAUAUAUAUAUAUAUAUAUACAAAAAAUAUAAGGUGAGUUUUUUAAUUUUUAAAUUUUUGGAUUUAGGAGUUUGAUUCUGCGAGUCUGAAGUCCUAAUUUCUGAACUUAAACUUAAGUUCAAGACGAGAAAACUUACUUAUUUUUUAAUAUUGGUAGUUAUGGAGUGCAGCCAUUAAUAGUUCUGCUAAUUUUUUUUUUAGUUGUUCAAAUUAUUAUGUCAGACAAGCCGCAGUUGCCUAAAACGCUUGUAUACGUACGAAGUGUUAUUUAAGUAUGGUGCCCAGAGAAUCUCACUCGAGAAAAACUAAUGAUAAAAAAAUAAAUAAAUAUAAAAGCAAAAAAAAAAAAGAAAAAGAAGAUUUGUGUGCAGGGGAAAAGAAAAAAAAAAAUAAAGUUGGGCCUAAGAAACAGAAGAGGCCCAGUGAGUGAGUGGCACAUGCGUAAAUAGUUGGAACCUCGGCCCCUUUUAACCCACCAACCUUAUACAGCUGGAGACAGGGGGGGGACCCCACGUGGGGGCCCACAUUGACGUGGGGCCCAACAAAAUAAUUAAGAUGGUGAUAUUUUUGUGAGCGUGAGUGUUUUGUGGGCCUCUCGCCACGUCAUCCUCUCCCUUCACCGCCACCUCUCCUUUUUUUAAUAUAUAUAUAUAUAUAUAUAUAUUUUAAUUUGAAACUUUGGCCCUUUACCCUCUUUUUUUUUUUCUUUUUUCUUUUUUCUUUUUUAUUAUAUUUAUUUAUUUAUUAUUUAUUAUGAAUAAAAUAUUUAUCAGCUCGCUGAGCGAAGUGCAGUGUCUCCGUGCCGCUUUUCCCCUCUCCGACCUCCUCCUCCCUCCUCUCUCCUCUCCCUCCUCUCCCCCAAAACCCUAACCCUAACCCUAAGCGACCCCACCGCCGAGCUCCGCCAUUGCCGAUCCACGACCCAUCGCCAUCGCCCGCAAGCGGAGCUCUCGAAUCGCUUCUACUUUCGUGGUAAUGCCUCUUUUUCGCGUAUUUUCUCUAUGGAUCUCGAUGAGGUUUUGCUUCCUAGUUGUUGAAGGGGGGCCUCGGGCUUUUUUCUGCUGUAGCUUUCUCAUUUUCCUCGCAUUGUUGUGUUGGAUAAGAGGCGAAAAGGUGAUCUAGUAUCUUGUUUGGUUCUCGAUUUGUUCUUCGUUACUUUAAGAAUUACUUUUAUUUCGUGUAAGUUUUAUGAAACGGAUUCUAAAUGCAGCAUCGGUAUCCAGUUCAUGGUUAGGGGGGAAAGGAAUUUGGUUUCUCGCACAUAAAUCUUAUAGAACAUACAGUGCGGAUUUAUUCUGUAGUGUACAGAUUCACGAAAUUUGAGGGUUAUGUUACGUCUUCAAUUUUGAUGAUUCCUUUACAGGAACUGGUUUCUAAUUAGAUCUAUGAUAACCGUACUAUCAUCUGAAUCCACAUUGGGACUUUAGCUGGUUGUUCUUGAAGUUAGUUUGUAAGAGGUAGUUUGGGUUGGUUAAUUCUAUGUGAAAUAAUUUGAGUCAUCAAAGAUCAUAGAAGUGCUUUGUCUUGUAAGUUAAGAUUUUUAUGGAAUGAAGGGAUCGGAUUUUGGGGAAGAUGGGAAUUAUUUACUAGCAGUUUUGAAUUAUGCACUAGUUGGUCAUUUCGGCAUUUCGUUUCUCAUUUUGUAUGACCCUAUACAGCCCAGUAGAGAACUUUCUAAUUUUCUUAUUACAUGUCGUUAUCUAGUAUGGCUUAUAUUAAGAUUUCCUGAGCCUUUCAGUUUCUGAUGCUAUCAUGAUGGCUAGAACUUGAUUAUGUGAAUGCUUCUGUCUCUAAUCAUGAAUUGGGUCAUUUUCUAGGAUAAUGGUGCAUAGAAUCUGGAUAAGUUGCUAUCUACUUCUCUCAAAUCCAAGAUUCAUUAUUCUUAGAUAAUGAAGCCACGCAUAUGUCGAGUGUACUGUUUUUGAAAUUACUUCACAUGCCUUCCAUGGAGACAGUAUGGUCAGGGGUUUUGUAGAAAUUUUGCUGUCAGAGUAAUUAGUUUAGGUGGCUGUUUGCUUCAUUGCCAAAUAUGGGAUCUUCUGGCUGUACUUCUGAAAUCGUUGAAGUAAAAGAAGAAAUGAAUGAACUUCGUUCUACUGGAUCUGUUCCACUGCGUGUGAAGGUGAAGAGAGAGGACAAGAAUGGUAAAUCUCAUGAUUAUCCUUUAGAAGAUGACCUUGAUCAGCUUCUCAAAGCAAUUGAUGUAAGAACAUCGUCCAGGGUCUUUCCAUCUCAGGCGGGUUCUGACUUGCUGCAUAAGAAUUCCUAUAAAAGGUUUGUUAAAGUCGGGACAUCUCAAGCAUCAGGAAUUGGGAUAUCUGACUCUGUUACCCUUAAACAGGCACUAAGAAGGCUAUGCAUUUCUCAGGCUUCUGAGAUGGCUGCUAUGAAGAGAUUGUCAAAGCCAAUUGGACUAUCUGGAGUUUCAGAAGCUGGAUUGAUUAAAAAGCUCUAUGCAACUGUAGUGGUCCAAUCCAGUGACACGCUAGAUGAGGAAAAAGGUAAUUUGUUAGAAAUAUCCAUCAUGCCUGAAAAAGCUACAGAUGAUUCAACUAGUCAGAAUGCUUCAAUGCGCGAUCAAUCUUCUACCACCGAUAGGGGCACAAAAAUCAGGAUCCAAGAUGUGAUUAGACAGGACCCAGCAGAACUUAGUGAGAGCCCAAAAGCUGCUUUAGAAACAGAUAAAAAGGGAAAAGCAGUUUCAAAAGCUUCUGUUGUUAGCUCUCAGGGAGGUGCUUGCCCAGUCAAGUCUAUAGCAAGUCCACGCCUGGUCAAGCCAGCAUUUCGGAACAAGCCCUGCAUCAAAAAGAAAGUGAAACCAGAACCAUCUUCAGUAUCUAGCUCAAGCAUACAUGUUGAAACCAACAAAUUUGAUUCUCUUUCUAAUAAAUGUAGACUUGGCCAUCAGAAAGAACCCAUCCCCCCAUCAUCAAGCAGUGAGAAGUCUGUUGGUUCUACACUAAUAGAAAGUACAAAUUUUGUCACAAAUGUGAGUGAAUGCUCGAGAAUAAGGGAAAAAGGGGAAUGUUCCCAAAGUUCUAAAAGCAGCAUUGGUGAUUAUAGCAGCAGCACAAGCUUCAGUGACGACAGCCACUGUGGUUUUAGUGGUAACAGUAAUAAGCCUCACAUGUCAAAGGAUGUGAGAUGGGUAGCUAUUCGGCGAGUUGUAAUGCGACAAGGAAGCUUAGGGUUGGAUAAUUUUGAUCUUAUUAAAAGGUUAGGUUCUGGAGACAUUGGGACUGUGUAUUUGGCUGAGUUGAUUGGUUCAGACUGCUUAUUUGCGCUGAAAAUCAUGGAUAUUGAGUUCCUAAUUAGCAGGAAAAAGAUGAUGAGGGCGCAAACUGAGAGAGAUAUAUUGCAGAUGCUUGAUCAUCCAUUUCUUCCGGCACUUUAUGCCUAUUUUACAACGGACAAUCUCUCAUGCUUAGUUAUGGAGUACUGUCCAAAGGGUGACCUCCAUGUCCUUCGACAGAAACAACCUAUGCGAAGUUUCACUGAACCGGCUGCUAGGUAUGUACUAUCAUGAUUAAAUAAUCCUUGCUGCACUAUCGUGAUUAAAUAAUCUUUGCUGCAUGUGCUAUCCUUGAGUUCAGAGUGGUGCCUUUAUUUUUUCCUGUGUCUUUUCACUUUGUUUCGGAACAUUUACCUUCUUUUUUUUGUGUGUGUGCGUGUGUUUAUGCAUGUAUGCGUGCGUGUGUGUGUGUGUCUGUGUGUUUUGAAAGAACCUCCUGAUGGUAACUAAGACAUUUGGAUCCAUAGUAGUCCUGCUAGAGUUUCAUACUGCAGCAUCUGGAUGUAGCAAAAUAUAAGAAGGAACACACAAGAAGAAAACAUUAAAAAUGAACCGGAAUCCAGAUGCAGUUGAACAGACCCACCUGACGAGUCAAUAUGUUUUCCAAUAGCUACCUGGUGAACUGUCUAAAUGAUUUUUCUACUAAGUAUUUAUACUUAUUAUUAUACAGUUGUCUGGACAUUCAUCCACAGAUUUAACAUUGCAUUAUCUCCGCUAAUGCCCUGUCGUCAGUCUUUGAAAAAUUUUGCAUCUCCAUGUGGGUAACGAAGAUCUGGUUUGGACUAAAAUAUAAUCUGACUUUUACUGGAUUUCUAGGAACUAUACCGAAGUUUUAAUUUCAGGUUCUCCUUACUAUUGUGCUCAUUAUGUUGCCUUGUAAAAUUACUUGGAACUCACCUCAAGUCGCUCUUUUACAGGUUCUAUGUUGCGGAAGUUCUCCUAGCUUUGGAGUAUUUACACAUGUUAGGGGUGAUAUACCGUGACCUAAAGCCAGAAAAUGUGCUUGUUCGCGAAGACGGUCACAUAAUGCUUUCGGACUUCGAUCUCUCUCUCCGGUGCUCUGUGAGUCCCACACUUCUGAGAUCCUCAUCUCUAGUCAGAGAAGAGGACCUUUCCAGAAAACUCUCGGGACCCUGUGCGGACAAAAGCUGUAUAGAUCCUCUGUGCAUCCAACCCUCUUGGCCCCAAGUCUCUUGCUUCACUCCUCGUCUAGCGUCUUCGUCCACUCCAUCCAAAAGCCGUAAACCAAAACUAGGUCUAAGCAACCGUGCAAGCUCUUUCCCACAGCUUGUUGUGGAACCCACCGACGCACGGUCUAAUUCCUUUGUCGGGACCCAUGAGUAUUUAGCCCCCGAGAUUAUACGAGGUGAUGGCCAUGGAAGUGCUGUAGACUGGUGGACUUUCGGGAUAUUCCUUUACGAGUUACUAUACGGAAAGACGCCUUUUAAGGGACGGGAUAACGAGGAAACACUGUCCAAUGCAGUUUCACAGAGUUUGAGAUUUCCUGAAAACUCAAAUGUUAGUUUUCAUGCGAGAGAUUUGAUUAGAGGAUUGCUGGUGAAGGAGCCAGAGAAUAGGCUAGGAACAGUAAAAGGGGCGGCCGAGAUUAAGCAGCAUCCAUUUUUUGAGGGUUUGAAUUGGGCGUUGAUACGGUGUGCCGCACCGCCCGAGACACCGAGAAGCUACGAUGUGGGGACUCCUGUAAUGAUGCGUAAGAAGAAGCAAGGUAAGUGUUUGGCCUUUGGGAGUAAUGAGGAUGUGGAGUUUGAGCUUUUCUAGUGUAGAAAAAGAAAUAGUAAUAUACUAGCACUAUGACAAUAUCUUGUUCCUAGGCCUAUUGUUGUCCUUGUGCGGAUCUUGUUGCCGUAGUCGGUAGAUCACGUUGUAAAUGUUGAUUCUUGUAAUGCAUGAAGCGCUCUUUCGUCCUCAUUAAUUAAUAGCAUGAAUCUGGUGUUUUCAGUCCCAGUAGGGCUCACGGUUUGAGUUGUAGAUGGCUAAGCUCCCGAUUCUUGAAAGUAAGAAUAUGGCUUAGAACAAGUAAUAGCAAGAAGUCAUGAUCGAGUUUGGUGGCGUGGAUUUUCUUUUAAAUUUUUUUACUUUUCUUUUUUCUUUUUUCCCCUUGGUUAUUCUUUUGGAAAGAAGUUUGUUGUGUUAAGCACACUAAUGUAUAUUCUCUUUGAUCGGUCUCUGGUUCAACUGAACUUUGUUCUUUCGCUCCUGGUAUGUUCCAACUAAACUUGUAUUUGGGUUUCCUUAUUUGGUGAAAUUUCUUCUUAAAAUGAGAUUAGUUAUCCUUGGAUUAAUUAAAGAAAUCUAGGCACAGGUUGGAUGUUCAAAAUAACUACAAAUUUAGUAUUAUUCACCAAACUGAAUAUGAAUCUGAUUAUGUCUAUCGAUAAAAUUUUAUCACAUUUCAUGCUUGAUGCUUCCCAUCUUAAAAUUUUCAAUCCGUUUUUAUAAUGGGACUUAAAAAUUCAGAAGAAAGUGUAAAUCCCUGGACUAUUAUAAGUAAGGUUUGCGAAGAGAUACCGGGGCACUCCCAAAAGCUAUUAAGAUUUAAAAAUUUUAAAAAAAUGUACUACAAACUUCAUUAUACAUAGGAGUAAUUUUACUAUAAUUAAAGGGUCUUAUCUGCUUUUUUGACCAACAAAGCUACAGAUUUUACUAAUAAUUAAUAUAAAUAAACAGUCAAAUUUAAUAAUCUCUCCUAAAAUCACUCAAAUUUAAAAAAUAUAGACUUGAAGAGGUGUCAAAAGAAAAAAGGACAAAAUAAAUAAAUAGGGAAGUUUAAGUACAUUUUUACCAUUUAUGACGGAAAUUUCAACCCGCGUUGUACUCCCUCCGCCGUAAGCUUUGGAUUCCAUUUUGCGAGAAACUGAAAAUUUCUAUUUUAGGUUAAAAACGAGAGCGUCCAAAAAUAGACUUAUCGAAGACUCGGGUUUGGACUGGGCCCAACAAAACCCGCCCGCUAUUUCUAGGCCUCAAACAUCCAAAUGUCCACUUCCACUCCACGUCUCUUGGGCUACUGCACAAACGGGCCUAGUGAGUUAAACCGUAUGUUAAUGGGCCGCAUACAUCAGGGCCGCGAUACGGGCGCUGAGAUCGAGGUGGGCUUUGUUCGAGGCCAACCUUGUCAUUCAUAGCUCUACUUUCGUACAUUCUCGUUUUUAACCUAAAAUAGAAAGUUCUCGGUUUCACGCGACUCUUUUAUAUAUGAAGCGUCUCUUCCCCCGAGUGAAAAUAGGUGCACAGUGUUGAAAUGGGUACCGUUAUUAUUCCUAAUGGAAACUAUCCCAUCGUUUAUCUUGCGUUUAGUUUAUGUAUUCUGCAUCAUCUCUAACUCUUUCCCUCGAUAGCCAUAAUCUUUGCCCAAUAUUUUGAAACAUAUUCUCAAUAGUUAGUUUAUCGUAAUUCUCCUCCGUGUCCGAAGUUGCUAGAAAUGAUAUCCUCAUUCGCCAGAAAUAAGCAGCAGCUAUUUCGAGUUCUUCAAAUAUAUACCUCAUCACGCUGCUGGAAUUGCUUGAUGAGGAUCAUGGAAAGAUAUCAGCAGCUGCACAAGUUCCCAAAUUAUGUUCUCAACUCCAAAUGGAACUGCUUUCACUCUUUAAAAAACAACACAGAAAUCCCACCGUCUUUUAAUUGCAUCAGAGCAGUGAAGUUUUAGAAGCACUCCUAGAUUUCUCGGCAACUCCGAAUUAUCAAAGUGAUUGCAUUUGAUGAAGAAAUGCAUAUACUGAAACUAGUUCUUACUGGAAUAAAUAGUCACGUGCGUCAACGGAGGAAUCUAUAACUGAAAGUUCAUCACGGUCUGACCAUUAACUUAUACAGAUAUCACCGAGAACAGUUCGGUCAAUUAUACUGUCUACAAUGCCAAAAACCGAAAGACCUAAGUGUGGAAAAAAUGCACAUAUACAUGAUCAAAUAACAUUACAUAUGACAUUAUAUAUAUUUACAAUAAAGCCUAUUCCUGAAAACUAAUGGCAUCUUGUGAACUCAAAAAAAAAUCUGCAAUGAAAAGGUAUACAUCAACUUACACUAUAUAGGUCUUCUUCAACACUUUCCUUCCCCGUUUUCUCCGAGGUUCGACCAUGAUGUUCAAGGCAUUAACGAUCUCGGCGUCUUCUUCGUUCCACAGAUUUUUUGCAGCCUCGGGCUUUUCCAGCAGCAAUUUUGCUACAAGGAAUCCGGCUAUAGACCAAGUUUGGUAUAGCCGAGCUUGCUUUCCAAUGAAACGAGCUCGUUUUGAGUCAUAAUAUUCGGGCCAUCUAUCGGUUGCUAUUCGCUUCUCAGCAACCUCUACAGCUUUGGCAGCAAUCUCUGGCCUAUUCAUUUUUAUGCAAGCAACUGCUAGCUGCAAUUUGAAAGAAAGAGAUCAGAAGUUUUGAAUUAUUACAAUUAUUUAACAAGAAAGGGGCUUUACCUACAGGAGCAAUCGUGGUCAUGGAAAAGUAGAAUAAAUGAUCUAUUAUCACUUAAAGGCUUUCAAUCAAUUCCCUUUUCUCCAGGUAUAAAAGAAUCAGCUCAUACCCCCCACAGAACAUACCCAAGUUGUCGUAAGCUAUCAUACACUCAUUAAGCCAACCAAAAUCAAGUGUAGGCUACUAUAAUUUAAAAUUAAAGCACAUUGCAUAGAAAGUAACACAUGAAAGUGUACAAUGAGAUUUUGGAAGUUGUGUAUAUGUUUUAGGAGUUUCUGGCAUGAAGAGCUGGUAAACCUACUAGAGAAACCGGGAUAACUGAACAAGAUAAAACAAGCUAAAGAAUCACAAUUGUACAGCAGGUAAGACUUUUUGGCCAACACAUGGAUUCCUGAAGCAAAGGGCUUGGAGAUAAUAUGUGAAUUGCAGUAUGUAUAAAAAUGCAACACAAUCACAUGCCAUAGCGUAAGGUAAAAUUUGAAACCAAUCGAUGCCGACAGAAAACUAAACAUGCAAAACUGAUAGAUUUCAAUAGAGAGAAGAAACUGCCAACCUGCCACAGUAAUGUUGGCCACGAGCCUCCAUUGUGGUAUGACCAAGGCCUGCAUCAAUAACAAACAUAACAAAUAUAACAAGAUAAUAAGUGCAAAAUAGAAAAAAACAAAAAAGAACAAGGACCAAAACUGUAAGUAAUUACGUAUUUUUGGGAUCGCUGCCGGUGAUGAUUCGCCAUUCCUGGCCCUCAAGAGUAGGAUAACAUAUCUUAAAUGGCAUAUCAGCCACUAAAUCAGACCACUUAGCCUCAAUCAGAUCCAAUAUGGCAUGCGAUUGGUGUGUCGUGGCUAAGCUGCUCACUAUAGACCACAGAUUCCCCAAAGAAAAGAAACGAAAAUCCAUGUGGGCGGGUUGCAAAUUCCCAAUGAGGUAGCCACCCUUACAGGGCAUCCACUCCACUAGCCAUGGAGAGACCUGAUCCGGGUAAAUGUUGAAUUUGUUGACAGCAUCAUAAGAAUAUUCCUCUGUUUUAUAUCGGUAUAUCUCAUUGAGUUUUUGCAUGUCGACCCAGUAAUACUCCCUAAUGUGAAAGGAUAGUGCUAUCAGCCUAUUAUUUAAUGCCCGAAUAAGAUCUGCCGAUCCAUCCUCAGGUGCCAGCAUUUCACGAGCACAUAGGAGAGCUGAAUAAAAUAGUGCCUGCAGAAAACCAUAAUCAUCAAGGGGGGAAAAAUUAUUUGGUUCUAUCACUAAGAAAAGUUUCUCUCCACUAGAAAGAAAUUAUGAAUAGCAUAAUGGUUUAUAGAUAUCCGGAAUAAUAUUUCAUAAUGAUUAACCGUUUUGGAAGAUGAUUUGCAAGUAAGAUGUAACUGAACUCUUAUAAUAAAGCUCGUAAAUAAUUGGAAGAAUCAAGAGACUUUGGAGCAGACAUGCUAGUGGCCCAAUGCAAGCAACACCACUUACAAAAAUUUGGAAGAAAGGGAAAAUAGGUGGAGUGUUUUCUAGACAUGAAAGUUGAAAAAAAAAAGGAAAAAGAAAAUUGUCUCUGAUUGAUCAAAAUGAUACUUAUAGUUCCGCUUAAAUUUGUUGUAUGCUGAAGAUAAUACUGAUAUAAUGCAAAAUAUAAGGCUAAUAGACAAUCCAGCAUAAUCAUAUACAUCCACAUAGGAUAACUUUUUGUACCAGCACCCAAAAAAAAGUUACAUCAAAUGGUCGAAUUUGUGCACCAAAUUGUAGCUACCUCCUUAGUCAAAACAAAGCAAUUUUGGGGUUAUUUUAGCAUAUGAUACUGAUGGAUCUUUCAAGAAUCUUAACAACUCUAAAUCAAAUAGUAUGUCCUAAUGGUGAAUAAAUCAUUCUUUCACAGGACUUAAAAUUCUCAUGCCACCAUGCAAUACACACACAGAGAAAAAAAAAAAAAAACUGAAGAGCAAGCAAUGUUUUUUACACUCCGCACAUGUCAUCCAGUAUCAUGACAAACAUUACUUCUUAUCGAGCUAUAUGAUGCGAUUGUGAACAACUUUUUGUGAGAUUUAUGAUAGAACAUCUCACUAAGUUACUAGAGUCUUGUGCUCUAAUGCAAUCUAGACCAUAAGAAAGGGAAAAAAAUACAAAUUACAAAAUUCUUUGUCAAAUUUACCUGAAUUUCUAGCGGGUGGCCAUGAAUUCCCAUACGGCGAUCAAUCAUGCACGAGCCGUCCGUUACCAGUAAUGUAGGGAACAUAUCAAAGCCAUCCGCAAGACAAAGCUUCAGGAUCAUUUUGAUUCCAGUCUGGACAUCAAUUCUCUCCUGAACUGACAAAUCCCCAGAGCAUUUUCCAUAUGCUCUGAGCAAUAUAAUCCACCAUAAUCCUAUUGAAAUUCAAGGUUUUCAGGGAACGCGCAACAAUCAUGAAGAAAAGAGCACGUAUUGAGAAAAGGAUAAAAUUAAUGAAUUCCCUACAUAAUCCUAAUAUUAUGAUUUGGGCUUGUCACUUAGACAGCGCCCAAACAUUUCACCUCUAGUCCCUGAACUUUCUCAGAUAUUGCAAUUCCAUUCCUAACCAUCCAAACAAUCUAAGUACUCUCCUGCAAAAGGAUCAUCUUACCCCUGCUCUAGAAAAAUUUUGUUAUUUCAGCGUACUAUCAAAUAUCUUUAAAAAGUCCACUUCAUAGGAACAAAUUGUGUUUCCAGAUUUCCCUUUAAGCAGCCAGGGAUGAAAUUGCAGCAUAACCAAAAUCUCAGGACAAGUGCUUAAAUCAAAAGUUUAGGGACAAAAUUGCAACAUAUAGAUGGUACAGGACUACAAGGACCAUUUUUCUAGUUUACACUAGAAAAAUUUAGCACAUUUUAAUAGAUAAUUCAGGACAAUCAUCUUCUCUGCUAAUAAUAUUACCCGAAUCAACAGGUGCUACACGUCCUAUUGCAGCCUCUCCGAAAUCAGGGUCCAAAACCUCCUCAGUUGCAGAAUCAUCACCAUCUAGUGGAACUGUCCGCACCUUAAAGCUGGCAGGCAUAAGCCCCUGCCCUGGACUGUGGCAAUCCAUUGUUUUCUCCCAGCUCUACAAAGUGAAAACAUAGACCGGAUGAUAUUAACUGUAGGAAUUAAACAUAAAAAAGUCUGGCUUUUAAUGACACUAAACUAUUUUAUGUGCAGAGCUGCUACGCAAAAAUUUGUCCUCAGAAAAUCUUACUCUGUCAAGCUAACAAGACAAAAAAUUAGAUGCUUCAUAAUCUGGUUCGUCAUGCUCAAUUUUGAAGAAGGUGAUGACAAAAGAUCAGGGCAAUUAACUUAGUAACCCAUUGAAAGUAAAUAAUUAGAUUUUUCUGACUCUGCAGCGAUUGAUUGCUGGAAAUAUUGAGAUAAGUCAAGACAUGCUUAAAAAGAAAAGAUGUGGGAGUGAUUGUAGGAAUUGAAGUUACUAGUAUGCCACUAGAGUGAUUAAACAAUGGUUAGAAAAUUCAACAUACCAAAGUCUUUAAAAAGAGAAUUACGUGAUUUCUUAAAAUAAUGCCUCCAAUAGUAACGAUCGAUGACUUCCCAAAUAAAUAAGAUAAAGAAACUGUAUAAAUUGCUAUCAAUAACGACACAAACAUAUAUUUUAACUGCAGUAAAUUUAGUGGGACAAGAAGGAAGCUGUAAGAAUAUUACCUGAAGUUGAAGAGUGUGAAGAAUGAAGUUGCGGACGAUAUCGUACUCUCCCUUCAAAAGGAACGCGAUCCCGGAAGGUAUAAAGUCACGAAUGAAUACCUGAUCAUAGUUCAAUACAUUGCUAUCUGAUGGGUCCUUUGCAGCAAUUGUUCCCACCGGACUGCCACAAUAAAAAACCAUGGAUUCCUGUAAAAGGCGCCAAGCUUCGUCCUCAACAGAGUUUCCCCUUUUCUUCGGCGAUGCACUAUUAGCUGCUCCAACAGGUGUAGAUUUAUCGUCACUACUUUCAAUAACUCCAUUUUCAAAACCAAUAGCUUUUUGGCCAUUCACGUCACCGAGAACCUGGCUUGCUUUACUCACUGCAUCUUUUACCCAAGUUCCAUUUGUCCCAUUUCCAUCCUCAUUAGUUAUUUCAGCUAUUUUCUCAAUUCGCUGACAUUGAGUCGUUACAAACUGAGAUCUAUGAUAGGCGGGCAGGGUCCCACAUAGCCUUGGAAAAUUUUGGCGUGUAUCGGAAUUAGAAGACGCUCUUAAAUACAAAGGAGCUCUCUUUCUCCUACCAUUUCGAUUAAUUUUUAAUGGAGAAAGGAAGGGCAAAGUGUUCGGCGAAAGAGGACAACAAUAGUGACCUGGUAUUGUCCCGGACAUAACGAGAAGAGAUGCAGCUUCUAAGAUUUCCAUAUUCAUAGAUCUCAGAGUCUCACAGUGAAUGUUCCUUGUUGCUGUGUAAAGCUAUGUAGAAGCUACACUGCAUACGGUAUCUAUAACACUGGCGAAAGAGGAAAAUAAAGCAGCAAUAACAUACAGUAAGAAUAAGGGAUAGAUCAUUUAAACACGAGUAACAAAUUGUGCUCGUUAAUCGCUUUCCAUACUCUAAAACUAAACAAUAACAUCUCGUUUACAAAUUUUAAGAUCCGGAAACACGUACUUCCAUCAGCUGAGUACGAUCAAAACUAGUUCAUCGAUCGCCAAAUCAAAUCAAAACCAAAAGCACGAAUCAAUUAGAACAAACAAAGAUCCGCAAACAUGCGCAAACCAAAAAACUCGAGAAAACACGAAUCAGAAUCGCCAGAUCCAAAAAAGCACUCGGAAACAUGUUCCAAUCACAUCCACACGAACAACACACCACUAAAUUAAACGAAUUCGAGAGCAAAAUCUCACCUGGCGCCGCCCCGAUCUCACGGGAACCAAAUCCAAAUAGAAUAAUUUGAUCCGAGAAAGAUGAAUUGAGCAAAGGGAUCGGAGAAAUGGCGAUGCCCUAAAUUUAUUAAGACGAUAAUAAGAAAAUAAUUUAUCGUCUCCUUCGUGAUUAUUACGGGCGAUGAUGCUUCGCUCUCACAAACACAGAGAAGGCGACGAAAGAGGAAACCUCGAUGAGUUUUGCGCUCUACGCAAAUGCGCUUUUUUUUUCCGGAGAUAAAAAAAAAAGCGUAUAUUAUUGGGCCCGACCCUACUUAAUCGGAUACUCGAAUCCCAGUUUUUUUUGGUAAUUAUUAAUUAUUUUCCUGGUUUUUAGUUUAAAUUAAUUAAAUUUUGAGUUGAUCUUGGUAAUAAACUCUAAUAAGGCGAAGUUUAGGAGCUGUUUGAUUUGUCGAAAAAGCGUGAAAAAAAAAAAGUUUUGAGAAAAGAGUGUUUCAUGGGAAUUUUUAUUUCAGUUUUUUUUAUCCUUUAGUUAAAAAAAAGUUGCUUUUUUAAAUUUUUUCAAAUUUUAUGACUAAUUAAUAUUUUUGUUUGUCAAAUUUUUUUUAGAACAAUAGAAAUACUAGAUUUUUUUUAUAACAUUUAGAAAAAUCUUUUCAUGAAAGCUAAUUCUUUUUGAAAUUAAAUGGACAGAAAAAAAAUCUUUAAAAAUAUUUUCACUUUUUUUCAGAACUAAACAGCCCUCCAAAAAGAGGAGGAAAAAAUUCUAUCGUUAACCCAAUUCCCGAUUAAUCUCUCCAUUAAAGGAAAUAAGUAAUACAUUUAAAGAGAGAUAUAUAUGUAUAUUUAUUUAACUACGACUAUAGUUUUUAAAACUAAUAAUUUAUUUUUUUGAGAAAUAGGUAGCAAGCUACCUGCUUCAUUCAUUAAGUAACAUGAAUUUAGCAUACAAACUGGAAGCAGCUAGGGCCUCCGAACCGAGGGAACGAAGAAAAAACAAGAGAACAAAAACCAGGUCCGUGCGACCCAGGAAACAAGUGAAAACCAAAUUAAACAAAAAUGGGAAAACGGAGGGCAAAGCGCAGAUCUCGGGAGAGAAUCAAAGUGCUCCGUUCCAGGCAUCGAUCAAAACGGCGACACGUUCGAGAGCCCGGGAAACAUUAAGAGGUACGUCGCGGAAGCAAAUGCCGUUACGCUCCGUCCAGAUAACCCACCAAAUUGCCGCCAACUUGGUUAAAAUAUUUGAUCUCGUUACAGCCUCGGGAAUGUCCGAGAACUGUGUCCAAAGCUGUCGUACAUCCCCCUCAUCCGAAUCCGCCUCCACUAAGGCUCCUACUUUAAAACGGAGAAAUCUGACAACGAUACAGUCGUGGAAAAGGUGAUCAGCUGUUUCGGGUAGUAGCACACAGAACCUGCAGUGCUGCUCCACAAUGCACCCUCGACGAAGCAGUCUGUCUGCCGUAGGUAAUCUCUUUCGAAGUAGAAUCCAUAUGAAAACUUUGUGCUUGAGCGGGAUUUUUAACCCCCAAAGUUGAUCGUACAAAGUAUCAAUCUGUCCUCCGUCGGUGAUGAAUUCGUAAAGUGAUUUGACGGUAAAAUUUUGGUUAUUGGUCCAUCGCCACUUUAGUUUGUCAUGUGAAUCCGAAGGGGUAUAGUGGGAGAGUAGGUUUUUGAGCAUCGCAGUCUGUUGGCUGUUCUGACCAUUGUUACGAAUAGCAAAGCCUCUGGUUAUAAAGCGCCAUCUCCAUCCUCUUUCGUUCCAACAUUGAGAAACCGUAGCUUCCUGGUUUGCGAUUCUGCUGAAGAUUCGUGGAAAUCGGGUACUAAGGGGUGUUUCUUCGAUCCAAAUAUCCGACCACCACCUGAUGUUUUUCCCAUUGCCGAGAACAUACGAAACCCCGCUUUUGAACACGUCUUGACUACUCAUCACGCUUCUCCACCACUGGGAGUAGGGUCUGAAGGAUUUACCUUCACGUAACGGCCUUCUUCUGGUGUAAUAUAAUGCAGUGAUCAGCCUCCCCCAUAACAGCGAUUUCUCAUUGAAGAAACGCCACCACCAUUUUGCUAAAAGCGCCUUAUUCAUUGCUUCCAUAUCCUUUACCCCUAGGCCUCCUUCUUUUUUGCUCCUACAAAUCGUUUUCCAACCGACGAGGCAUGAACCUCCCGCAAUUUUUGAACAUCCUUUCCAAAAGAAGGAUCUUCUAAGCGCUUCAAUGCGCUUCAACACCCAUUGCGGUGCUUUGAAGAUUGCAAAGUAGAAUAACGGAAGAUUCGAGAGUACCGAGUUGACCAAGAUGAGUCUCCCCCCUUGAGAGAGGAGUUUUGCUUUCCAUCCUUCAAUACGCGUCUCAAUGCGGUUGAUGAUCGGCGUCCACUCUUCCUUACGAAGGGGGUUGAUAUGUAGCGGAAGGCCCAAGUAGCGGAACGGUAGGCUACCUACUCUGCACCCCAAAAUAUCCGCAUAUCGUUUCGCUCUGUUUGCGGUGAUUCCCAGGUGGUAGAGUUCCGUCUUGUUCAUAUUUAUCUUAAGGCCAGAUGCCCAUUCGAACAUCUUCCAAAUGAAAAGUAGGUUACGCAUAGCGGACUUCGUGGGUUUUGAGAAGAAUAAUGUAUCAUCCGCAUACUGCAGAAUCACUGUCUGGCUCUCGUCUGAGGGUCCUAUUCCCUGAAGUAAAUUAUUAGCCCUUGCUGCUUCCGUGACCCUAGCCAGACAGUCGGCCACUAGAAUGAAUAAGUAGGGGGAUAGCGGGUGCCCCUGUCUCAGUCCCCUCCUUGUUUUCAUCCAGUUAGUCGGUGAGCCGUUUACUAAAAUGGCUAUUUUAGCGUUACAAAUACAUUGUUCGAUCCAGUUCCACCAUUUGUCAUUGAACCCAAGCCACCUUAAAAUACUUUGCAAGAACCUCCAGCUGACUUUGUCAUAAGCUUUCUCGAAAUCCACCUUAACACUGAUGCACUCCCUAUUGGUUUUUGCACACCAGUUGAGAAGUUCAGACGCCGUGACGAAGGAAUUGGCUAAUAAACGAUCUUUCAGGAAAGCCGAUUGUGCGGGGGAGAUUAUAGAUGGUAAGACCCCCGCGAGUCUGUUCGCAAGAACUUUAGAGAUAAUCUUUUGAAUUCCGUUCAAGAGGCAAAUCGGUCUGAAAUCAUUAACCAGGCAUGCUCCUUCCUUUUUGGGGAUUAAACAUACAUAAGUGUAGUCAACCGGUGCCGUAAAGAGGUCCAUGGUCUGCAGGUCUCUGAAGAUAUCAAGAAUGUUGUCCUUAACUGUCUCCCAGAAAUGUUGGAAAAAGAUUAGCGGGAAGCCGUCGGGACCAGGCGCCUUGUCACUCCCUAGUUGAAAGGUAGCUUUUUUAAUUUCAUCUAUAGUGAAGGGGCUCGUGAGAGAGUCAGAGUCAGGUAAGGCAUCCGCACGGUACAAGUCGGCCCAAUCACCGAAAGAAGGCGGGUCAUCUUCCACGUUCCCAAAGAGACAUUUAAAGGAUUGAAAGAAACAUGAUUUCAUAUGCGCUUCGUUGCUGAUUUGUGUUCCCUCCUUGUCUUCAAUAAACUGAAUCUUGUUGCAACGCUUCUGCCCAUUGGCCACUGCAUGGAAAAACUUUGUAUUGCUGUCUCCUUCCUUUAGCCAGUGCUGUUUAGCUCUCGUUUUCCACAGGAUUUCUUCCUCCUUCAGUAUGAGUUGGAGCUGCACUUUAAGGUCUACACGUUUAUCCCGUUCUUCCUGAGUCAAGAUGUUCCGUUCCUCCAAAAGAUCGAUGCACCGAAUUUCUUCCUGUAAUGAUCUUAUCGCGUUGGAUAUACUAUGAAAUUUCGUUUUGCACCAUUCCUUCAUCCUGUUUCUGCAAUGUCUCAACUUCGCCGUUAGCGUGAGGAUGGCUGACCUUUGACCGGGUACUUCAUUCCACCAGAUCGGUACGUAAUUUGUGAAGUCCGCCCUAGUAAGCCAUACCCUCUCGAAACGAAACCUCCGCUGAGUGUGAGAGUUUCCAGUCUCGAGUAAUAAAGGGGUGUGAUCGGAGGUAAUUCUAGGUAGCGCGGAUACCCUGCUAAACGGGAAAACUUGAUCCCAUUCCGUCGAGACAAGGAAUCUAUCCAGUUUGGCCAGAGUUGGUGAGCGUUGCAUGUUAGACCAAGUAAAAUUUUGAUUGGAAAUAGGCAGGUCGAUGACUUCGAGAUUUGAAAUGAGGUCAGAGAACAUUGACAUCGCUUUAAAGCUCCACUGGUUCCCGGUGUGUUCGGCCUGGUUUCUAGUAAAGUUGAAAUCCCCACAAAUAACCCAUUUACAGUUGGAACAAACUGCGCCGAGGGCGAGGAGCUCAGCACAGAACUCUUCUUUCCCAUCCCAAGAUGGCGGUCCAUAUACAUUCGAAAGGUAAAAGCUCGUAUUACUGUUAAUAUGUUUCAAGUUGAGGGUGAGCGAGUGUUCGCGCACCAACGCCUCCGUACAAUCGAAAAAUUUGGAGUUCCAACAUGUGAAUAGACCGCCCGAUGCUCCCAUUGCGGGAAUAAAGUGACAUCUGUCGAAACUCGAGCCGCAGCAAGACCGAAGAAAGGAACGAGACACCGAAUCCACUUUAGAUUCUUGGAUACAAACCACCGAGCAAUAGUGUUUAGAGAGAAUAGAUCUAACACUCCGACGCUUACAAGGGUCGUUCAGACCGCGAACAUUCCACGUAAUAAUAUUAAACAUAGGAAAAGCGACACACACCCAAAAAGCAGCCCAACCGCAGAUAAAGACCCACCCACUACAGGUCAACUCCGCAUCAUAAACUUGUGGAGCUCUUCGGCUUCCACCCCCGUAAGCUUGACCCCGCAUAGCGCACUUUUCUUCAAGACCUUUCUAAUGCUCCGUGAGCCUGCCGCGGACAUCGGCCCAGAGGUCUCCCCUUCCAGCAGUAAAGCCUUCCUCAUUAUCGCCCGAUCAAGCGCCGGAACGUUACCUACAGACUUCAGCCUCUCACAAGCUCUGAUCGACCCACGACGCACGCACUGGUCGACCGCCAAUCCACGACGCACGCACUGGGGAAUCCCAUCCGCCCCGGUCGCCUCACCGGUCAGGGGUACAAUAUUGGGGGCCAAGGUAUUAACCCCCGAUACGUUCCCCGUCGACGAACAGACGACCAAGUUGUCUGGCUUCAAAAAAAACUCCCCAACCAUUGAUCCGUGGAUCUCCUUCGCAGCGGGCAAGUGGGGAACGAAGCUUUCAGCACAGUGGGCAUGGAUCUCCUUCGCAGCGGGCAAGUGGGGAACGCAUCUGUCAGCACAGUGGGUGGGGGUGUUCCCCGGUGCGCGUUCCCGUCUUGCCGACCCAAGGCAGGCAGCCUCCACCUUCGGGUCGAUCUCCAGUCCACCUGCCGACCCGGCGGGAAUGUCGUCGCACAAGACGGGCUCCCCUCCUGUACCACUUGCACCUCCUGUACCUCCAGCCGACGGGCCCAGGGGAGAAGGGGGGCGUGCGGGGCCGAUCUCCAGUCCACCUGUCGGCCCGGCGGCAACGUCGCCGCAGAAGACGGGCUCCCCUCCUGCACCUCCUGCACCUCCAGCCGACGGGCUCAGGAGAGAAGGGGGGCGAGCGGGGCCGAUCUCCAGUCCACCUGCCGGCCCGGCGGCAACGUCGCCGCACAAGACGGGCUCCCCUCCUGCACCUCCUGCACCUCCAGCCGACGGGCCCAGUAGAAAAGGGGGGCAAGGGGGGCUCGGGCGACAGACCGUGGCAAGGGGGCCCGAGUGCUGAGGCGCUACAGCCAAAGAGAAACGCAACAUCCCUCCUGUUCCGGCGACAGAACUGUCCGUAGGCCCCCACGAAAAUCGAAAAAUGGCCCCAGCUCCGUGCAAGCCAAGUCGGCCUCUUCCCUGCGCGCCUGGCGUGGCCCGCAGAAAGAGACCAGAACCGAGCCCAUCUCCAAAACUGAGCCCAUCUGCUUCUGGGACCAAGCUGGCUCUCUGCAAGCACCUCCCCUCAAUAAAGUGUGGGGCCUGCGAAUCCGGGUCGGGCCCGAAAUCCCAAGCUCCUUGCGGGCCAAGUCGACCCCACCCUUCCGAGACUUGCGUGGCCCGCGGAGCAAGUCCGAUCUCGAGCCCCUUCCGAAGCCCGAGCCCAUGCGGUUCCGGGACCGAGUGGGCCCUCAGCUUGCUCCUCCCCUCACAGAAGUGAGUAGGCCGCGGAACAAGGCCGAGCCCGAUGCCAAGAGGUUUCGGGGUCAAGAGGGCCCGCUUCGCACAACAGCCGACACCCACCCCUGCCCGGAUCUCGAGGUGGAAGAGAAGAUCCCAUGCAUCAUGCUAGCUCGCUUUCCCCAGAUAUAGUAAUAAAUGCCUUGGUUCAUCUUUACGCUUCCCUUAGGCUCCGAAUUCGAAGCUUUGACAAAAGCAAAUCCUUUCGCCUUCGGAAAAUCGCCGCCCGCCGCCACGUCAGAUAUCACAUUAACUGCAACAUCAACAUUAGGCGAAUUCGAAAUCCCGACCGUUGGCCCUCUCGUUCCGACGAUCGCCGGGCCCAUCCAGGUUGUUUUCUCCAGACCCAGCCGUCGAGAGUCGGCCGGAGUGGGAGCAGAUUUCCCACGCAGCAAAGCGUCUGGAGCAAUAACAUCUCUCCUCCUGUCUCGAAUUUCUGACGAGUUCCAAGAUGCGUCCGUGCUAGAAGAUCCGCCAGCCGACGAUCGUCGCCCUCUAAUCGAUCCGGCUGAGUGGCGAUGAGCUUCUGGACGGCUCUGCGAGGGGUCGUGACGAUCGGUCCAUUCGUUCGGAGGAUUGCCAGGAUCGAUGACGUCGCGGCGGCCCCAUCUCUCAAGCUGGAUGAGCACCGAGAGCGAGUAAUCCCCUACUGUGAUUUCCAAGUUUUUCGGGAUGUCGGAGAGGAAAUUGACAGAGAUGAGACAUCGGUAUCCCGUGAGGUCCACCAUGCGUGUCGAGAAGUCGUCCGCCCGUAUGAAGCGACCGAAACCGUCGACCAACCCCGCCACCGUACGAGAGGACCAACAUUCAUAUGGCAAACAUACAAGCCGGAUCCAAACGUUGUACGUGAGCGAGGCCCUUCGUAGCCCAUGAUAGGGAUUCCAGGGGAAGCAGUGCAGUCUCAGGUUGUCCGGCGAUAGGCUCUCUCUUCGGAUCAGUUGAUCUGCCGGCACCCACUCCGGGAGGAAGAUCAGAAAGUCCCGCUGACUGAACUUGGCGACGUGAAAAUCGGUCGGGAAGCCACCAAAACGACUCGCCAACCUGUUGGCAAUCGUCUCUUGGGGGAAGUGACCAAGGUUCUUGGGGGGGAGUACGUCGACCAGAAUCGCGUUGCGGCAUCGAUUCUGCCUGGUGUAGAAGUCUUCUGUCUGAGGAACAAACGCACUUAGGUAGGACGGUCGGGCCCUCAUCUCCCUGUAAACCGCCAUUGGUAAACGGUCCAUGCAGGAUCUUGCGACGUGGCCCGUCUUGAAGCAGCGCACACACCGGAGUGGCCCUCGACAACUAGCCGCCCGAUGAUUAGUGCCCAGGCACCUAAAACACUUCCCCUUGAAGAAAGAUUUGGGCGGGAUCUUGGAGAGGGGAGUGAAGUUGGCACCCUGACUACGGCGAGUGGCUCGCAGAGGUGUGUGUAUGGGUGUAAGAAGAGCUUCCUUGUACGUCUUGUUAAAACCUGUAGGUAAGGAGGAUAAGUUCUUCCCGAAUCCUGUGUCAGGGCACCUUCUAUUGUUAAUCGACGACGCGUCAGUUGGUUGUGGUAUGGGAGUGGGGUCGUCAGGAAAACCGAGAGCGUUGUGAGUUAAUGCAAGCCCUACUUCGUCAGCCCAUAUCACCCUCUUGUUAAAUGCGGAUCCUCCUUCAGACCUAUGUAAUCCAGGGUAGGUGCCCUCAUUAACCCAAGGCUUCUUAACUAUUGCCUUCGAUCUCUCAGUCCUGCCAUAGGAAUGAACAGUCGCCGCUCUAGCUGAAGGGAUAGCCGACGACGACGAAGAGGUAGGUCUCCCGCGAGUACCCGUCACCGUCCGCCAUUGAGUAGAACAGGCCUGUCCUCCUAUCUUCUUGAAAUCCGUCUUCUCAUCCGUAAUCCGAUCUAUAACUAGCGUUUUGCCUUUUUCCUCUUCCUUACCAGCAGUCCGAUCAAAAACUCGCGCUUUGCCUUUUUCCUCAUCCUCGCCAGUCUUUUCCUUUUUCCGAUCACCACCAUCAUCCUCACCAGCCCUCUCUUUUCCUUUAACAGCCAAAGACUUGUUGGAGAGUAUGCGGAGCUUGCCGAGGCCUUUGUCCGUCAGAGGCCCCGCCACCACGCGGUCCCACAGCUUCUCCAGCACCGCCAUUCUCUUUGUUUAAGAUAGUAACACUAUAUGAGAAUUAAUAAAGCAGGAUAGAAAGGGCGCCACGUUUGGAUAGGAAUUAGUGGUGCAGAAUAUUUUAAACUCCAUUUUAAGUGCUUGGUCAACCAACCAUGUUCUUGUUUUUAAUCCUUCGCCGUUAACGUACUAACCUUGUUUCUUUGUCCCUUUUUAUGAUCCUUCCUUUGGGUUACAAUAAUUAAUGAAAAACCUAUGAAAAGCCUAUAAGAAUUGUCUACAUCUAGUAUGCAUGGUAUGACUAAGUGCAUGCCAUUUCCUGUACCCAAAGAUAUCCUCAAAUCUCUUCAUAUCUAGUUUCUGAGGAUGAUUCUAUUCUCCUUUUCUCUAAUUUGUGUGUUCUUGUCGGUUCAUGUAAUCAGAACCAACAUGCAUGGGGAGAGAAAAAUAUAUUUAUAUGUGGCAGACAAAUUUAUGUAAUAGGGUUUAAUUUAAAUUUUAUAUCUAGGCCGGCUCUCCAAAGAUUCUUAGCAAGUUAAGAACAAGCAAAUACAGAUAUAUAAAGAAAUUAAUGAAAGAGUUCGCAAUACAUUUUGUGGUGGCGGAGCAUGUCUUUUGCUCUACAGUUUGUUGGCUUAAACGGGUUAGUAUUUCUACCAUGUGGUGGGCAGCCAGGUUGGACCCAGCUAUGUUUAAAAUGGCCGGAGGUCGGAUUGGAUCGAGUCAUAUUCGAAAUGGCGUCGGACUGGUUGGGUCGAGUCACAUAGCGGAGCAUGUCUCGUGGAUGGCGGAGCAUGUCUCGUGGAUGUUUUGUCUGGACAAUUUAAAUGAAUUGGUUGUAUUUUUUUAAUGGUUCGGGUUUUUAGAAUUAAUGAUUAGUGUUAGCCACAAUCGACUCUUGUAGGCGCUAUGUUUGUACGUUUUAAGUUAAUUGAUCGUAUCUUUCUAACAACUCGAGCUUUUGACAUUAAUGAGUAGUGUUAACGAUUCAACACUCAAAUUCUCUGUCUAUAUAUAUGGAAUUGAGCUUUUAUACUUUUAAAAAUAUUAAAUUAUUGGUGCUUAUAAGUUUUCAGCCCUUGGAUUAAGGGAUGUGCAUUUAUGAUGAUAGUGAUCGCCUAGAGUUGAGUGGGUGGUUGGUUGAAUAGUAUGAUCUAACAGAUAGAAAUGGUCAAAAGGGUAGCUUUGACCGCCAAAAGUUUUAUAAGCACCAAGUGUUUGGUGCUUUUACAAAGCACUAUAACUGGACUCUUAUGUAUAUUUAUUUACAAGAUUUUUUUUCUUUUGCUUAGCCUAAGUAGACCAUUAACCUUUUAGAUAUUGCUUGUGUAGGUAUACGAGUUAUGACUGUGUACUUUUCUUUUCUCUUUCCAUCAAUAAAUUGUAUAAAAAAUCACCUUAAGUUUUACAUUAAAAAAAACAAAAAAAAGUCUUAAAAAACCAAUUUAUUCCAAAUGCUAAUUAGAGCUUUCACAAUGAUGGUGGGUGUUGGAUCUUAAUGUAAUUUUGAGCUAAUAGAUACGAGUAAGCUCCUACAAACUUUUAUUGGGUUUUGGUAAAUAAAUAAGCUUAUAAAUUAAUUAUUCAUUUGAGAAGAGAACAUUCGAUCUAGUUUCUUCACUAACCCUUCCUGUCACCACCUCCUCAUGAAUCAAUAAUCCUACUCCAAAUGCCUGGUUCCUUUUGGGCUAUUUUUUUAAAACGUCACUGUUGAGAAGGACCAAUUGUUAUGAAUUAAGUAAAGAGAAACAUGUAUGCAUCAUUUGUUUACGUGUCUAGCCUAGGUGAGUUUGCUGGGGAUGGGAUUUACUUGAAGAAAUGAAAGAGGUGUACGAGGACUCGCGCACUUUUUUGCCACGCAAAUUGGGUUUUGUGUUUUAGCCACGUGGUCGUAAUUAAGCUUCUGUCAUUGAAGAGCUAUAUAUUUAGCCACACGUACAGUUUUGGUUGUAUGUACAUUUGAAUUUACUACUCGAACUUAUUGUUGCGAUGUAGAUUUAAUCAGUUGUUUGUACGUUUGAAUUUAUGAUUAUUUUGAGUUACUACACCAACGUCCAAUUGUUGUAGUUGAAACAAUAAGCAAAAUGUCUAACUACGUACCACAGUCACAAACAAAUCAAACGCAUGCAGUCCCAAUUCAUGUAAUGUAAGAGACAGGGGGAGGGGAGUGAAAGAGUGAGCAUUAAUUGUUACAUGAGAUAGAGAGAUAGGAAGGUACAUAAGGGGGUACUCGCCUCUCUAAUAUAAGGGGGUAUAUCCUAUUGAAGACACUCUCAGAUCCGGUAUUUCUAAUAGAGCAAUCCGCUGCUAGGAAUAUGGUUCAAAGGGGCUGUGAAACAACCGUUGUACUUUAAAAACUUAACCUGUUAGAGAACGAUAUUUAAAUAUUUUUAUAUUUAACACUCCUCCUCACGUCUGGGCUCACUUUUUAGUCGGUCUAUGAUGUGGGCUUGAAUUAAAUGGGAGGAAAUUAAUAUGCUAGUUGUCUGGUGUGACUCGAACUCAGGACCUCCUGUUUUGAUACCACGUGAAACAGCCGUUGUACUCUAAAAGCUUAAGCUGUCACAGAAGGGUGUUUAAACAUUUUUAUAUUUAACGGGGGUUUAUUCAGGAACAUUAGUUCUUAUAUAAAAUAAUAAAAUUUGUAAGUGCAUUUUCCAACUAUAUUGAAACAAACAAAAAUAUAUAGUUUUGGUCCACUCAACUUCGGUCAACCAAAUAUAGUUGUAACUACUGAAGUCCCAAGUUUGAAAUCUAGUUACUUCACAUUAAUAGUUUAGUUUAUUUUUAAAAAUGAAUGAAGCAUAUAAUAUGAUAUCUUUACAUUUUAGAAAAAUUAAAUCGCAUUUAGAAAAUAUAUGGAACCGUAAGUUAAUUUGAAAUACAAUGUAGAUGAGCUUUACCUACAAGGCACGAGUGCCAUUAUUUAGGGUUCUACCAUGCACAACGAUCGAUUGCAUAUUCUGGGGAGGUACUGGCAUUUGGUGUGGCUACCAACCACUUCUGUGUAAGGUUCAGAUGAGAAAAUACUAAUUCCUUCAUUCUUGGAAUGGUAAUUCCAAGUAUGGGUGAUGUCACGACUAUAGUGUAAAUCUUGUACUCAUCUAUCUAAGGAUUUUAUUUUAUUUUUUGUUGAUUCUGGUAUUUAAAGAAAAGAAUUGAUAAGACUAGUAAAAAAGAAAUAUUAACUCUUUGACAUAUAGUUAGAUAGAUAUGGCGCAAGAUUUACGCCCACUCUUUGACAUAUAGUUCUUUACACUACUUCUAAGCAAAAAAUGUCGAAAAAUGAUACCUAAAGUUGAAGUUUUUGUUUGGAUAAUUUUUACUUGUUCAGAAAUAAAAAUAAUCAAAUAGAACAUUGACUUAAGGGCUCGAAUAUAUAGCGAUAACUGUACUACAAUUUUAACUGCAUACAGAUAGAAUACAGAUAGAAUUAUAUAGUGUUUGGUUUGUUUGAUUUAAAUUGCAUUGAAGGAAGAAAAGAGUCUUUCGUCUCCCGCUCCACUUACUUGGAGGAUCAGGGCGGAUACGGAGCAGGUUAUAUAUUUUUUUAUAUUUUUUGUUCUCAUUUAUCGUCUCAUUUGGGACGGAUCGGGGUGGAAGCUCCACCAACCUGGAUCCAUUUGCAUCCCUACUUUCGCUAGAGAUUUAAACUGUAUCUCAUGUUUUGAGAAUUGAUUACCUGAUAGAGAGAAAAACCAAAUUAGGAGGCACACCUGCGAGCUGAUGAUGACCUACGGAUUUGAUAAAACAAAUUAAUUGCUGCUACUCUUCCGCAUUAUUGGUCUCAUUAUCUUAGUUUUACCUAUCCUUGCACUUCUUCCUUUCACAGGUGUCUUGCUUCCAUAGUUUUUGAUUUUUUUUUUUCAUUUUUUUUUUUGAACUACUUUUGUUUCUCUGUUGACUCUGCAAUAUUCUACUCCAGGUGAUACCCUUAGAAGGAUAAUUAGGUUAUCUAAUGCCAAUUAUUUUCUGAUCCCAUAGGCCACUGUUUUUUGUACCUAUAUAUGGCCCAUAAUUAAAUGCAUAGUUGGUUAGUGUGACUCAUAUAACUCAUCUGAAAUAAAGUGUUUCCCUGUCACUCUUGUGAGGGCUUAGCCCCCUGUGCCCUAGCCCCUACUAAAUACACUGUUUCUUUUUCCUUUUUGAGUACAUAAAAGCAGUUGGAUGUCUUAUUAUUGCCCAACCAUUGCUAACCUAAAAGAUCAUGUAAAUGGCACUCACAAGAUUGUCUAAAAAAGAUGGCUUGGUUGUUUAUUUCUUCUCCUAUUCACUAUAGNAAAAAAAAAAAAAAAAAAAAAAAAAAUCCUCUGAUCUUAUCUUAUUUUAUUUCCAACAAAUGCGACGUGUUCAGUUGACGCCCUAUCAAAUUUCAACUACUGUAUUACUUUCGAGAAGCAUCGAGAAGUAGCAAGUGACACUUUUUUUUUUUUUCCUUUUUUUUUUUUAAACUCUUUUUGGAUCUAAAACUACGUGUGGAGGCUAUUGGUUGUGUUUCGCUUUUUAAUCUCUUUUCGCUGGAUUGUGACAACACCGCACGGGGAACUCGUGUGAUUGUGAAAUGUGGAUGAGAUGCUUCACCUGCUGGGCACAAAUGUUUUUUUUUUUUUUUAAAGCUUAAAAAAUAAAUUUAUUUGCAAAAUUUGAAUCAAUGAGAAUUCGAAUUUGAAAUCUUAAGUAUCAAUCAUUAACCAUUUUGCCACUUGUAUAGGGAUAAUUGGAGCUGUGUACAAUUGUUAGCUGAAACAGAACUCGGUUGGAUCUUAGAAGCUCCCAUUUGUAUAAAAUACUGUAUACGUAGUAUCAAGGCCUUGGGUACUGAUCGUCUAUAGCGCAAGUAACAAAGAGCUUGCUUGUUAGUACCUAAGGUUCUAAUUUUCAAACUUAGUUGCUUUAUAUUUUUAGCUAAAUUUAUUUUUUAAAAAAAAAUUAAAUAAAGCGAAUAGCAUACUAUUUUUCACUCAAACGAAAAAAAAAAAAAAAAUAACGGAAAUGUCGAGCUUAACUUGGAGUGUUGAUUUUAGAAUUUGGCACAGGAGAACACUAGUUGGAGCACAUAUACAUGGGCUUGGACCUAUGUUUCGUUUAUUAGCUAAUAGGCUUGGGCCUCAAUUUACCACGCCGUACUCGGGCUUCGCUUUUGCCUUUGAAUGCUUUGGACCAUGUUUGGUUUUUUAAUUUAAUUUAAUUUUAUUAUAUUCCCUUUUUUGCUACUCAUUUGGGGUGUGAGUGGUUAGUGGAUUAACAAUCAUCAAGAAUCAUUUAAUUUAGGAAAAGUUUCAAAUACCAGUGAUUUCGCAUUUUAUUUUAGCACCUUAUGAUUUAAAGUGUAUAAAUUUAGUACCUGUGAUUUUAUUUUUUAUUUUUAUUAUUUUAUUCAUUAAUUUUUUUUAUUAAAUCAGUCACAAGGUUAGAAUUAAAAGGUACUAAAAUGAAUAUUUGAUAAACCUAAGUGGGGUAUCUAAAGUUUUUUUAUAUAUAAUUUAACGAAAUGUUAACAAAGGAGAUAACGAAAAAAUAAAAAUAAAAUCACAGAAUACUAAAUUGAUACACUUUAAAUUAUAAAAUGCUAGAGUAAGAAAAUAUAAAAUCAGUGGGAUGGUAUUUGAAGUUCGUCUUUUAAUUUAAUAACAUGUAUUUCGUAAAGCUAUGGAAGAACUAGCCUUGCGCUUGUGGUCUAUUUCGAAAUGACUAUCAACUUUUAUGUCUGUAAACCCUAAAAAUGUCUGUAAAAGCAAGCGAGAAGGUGGUCUAGGCAUUCUGGAUGUAGGGGCCAUGAACUGUGCCCUUCUGACCAAAUGGUGGUGGAAGUUUCAAGAGGCACCACAUCUACAGUGGAAUAAGAUAAUCCAAGAUCUCUACUACAUAAGGAGAAAACCUUUGAUGGAAGGCAGGUCAUUUAGGCCCCAGUCCCAUUGGUGGAAGGGAGUACUUAGCCUCAAAGCCAUUUUCAAAUAGGGAUCCACCUACAAACUAGGCAAUGGAAACUCUAUCGACUUUUGGCUUGACCGCUGGUGUGGGAAAACCACACUAGGCAGCGCGUUCCCGAAGAUCUACCAGAUAUCUAACAGAAGAUAUCUGAAGGUCAGCGAGGUCUUAACAAGUGACGGUUGGAACUGGAAUGGGAUUUUCGGCACUGACCCUGAAAUUUUAAUAGGGCUCGAAGACGACAUUGCAGAGCUGAAGGAUAGGUUAUCACAUUUUUAUCUUGGCCAAAGUCCGGACCAGAUAUUUUGGCGGUGGAGUUCAAAUAGGCUAUUCUCGGUGAAAUCGACUUAUCUAGCGCUAACCGACGGGGGAACAAGGGAUCCGGGUCUUAACGAGAUCUGGGGACUCCAUAUUCCUCUUAAAGUCAAAGUAUUCUGUUGGCUCGCUCUUAAGAAGAGGCUCCCCACAACCGACUUACUGGCGAAGCGUGGCUGGGUCGGAAAUACCGUUUGUGUACUUUGCGGAGUGGAAGACGAAUCCGUCGAUCACCUGUUCACGAGGUGUGUAUUUACUAAGUUCAUUAUUGUGAUGGAAGUGACCGGUAUACAGGUGACAGACCUGGAUAAUGAUGUAAUUCGGGUUUGGGAAAUGUGGAGGUUAAGGAAAGGUGGACCCAAGACGAGAAGCACCCUCUCCGUAUUAGUAGGAUGCUGGUGGUCCAUCUGGUUGGCAAGGAAUGAUACGAUUUUUAGAGGUGUUCAACUGAACCCUUCGAACAUAACUCGCAAAGUUAAGCAGCUGUUGAAGGAUUGGGGCCUCCUUAUCCCAGUAAGGCGGAUCGUUUAAUCUGUAGUUUUUUUUUUUUUUUUUUUUUUUCGCCCCCCAGAGGCCUUAGCUGCCUCAUCCCUAUAGCCUAGUUCAUAUUCCUAAUGAAUGAAGCGGAUAACGUGCUAACUUUUUCUCAAAAAAAAAACUUUUGAGGAUUUUGAUUUAAUUAUCUAACGUUCAAACUAAUUAAAUUUUAUGCAAAUUAAUGGCUCUCCGUUAUAUAAUUUGGGUAGGGUGUCCACUUUAAUAGAAAUGUAAUCAUAUAAUACUAGUGAAGUGACCCGCGCUUUGCGGCGGAUAAAUACUACUAAAAUUAAAAUUAAUAAAUAAUAAAAUAUCAAUAUAAUUAAAAAAAUAUUAAUAAAGAACAAAAUAUCAUCAAAUCAAUAUGAUCUUACUCCGUAAGAGACUACCCACUGCUGACAGACUGCUUAGUCGUGGGAUGCAGAUCGACGAUCACUGCAUUUACUGUGCUUUUGCCUUGGAAAGCUGCGAUCAUCUCUUCACCAACUGCAUCGUCACGCGAUUCUUACUCUUUGAGGCGGGGGUACUUGCCGACGAUACUGACUGUGUCCGGGCCCUUUGGACCUCUACAACAGCAAUUACCGGCACUGCUCAAAGAACCAAGGCCUUAACUUUCCUGGCGGCUACUUGGUGGGUUGUCUGGAUGGAAAGAAACAACCUCAUUUUCAGAACAAAGACUCCUAAUGCCACCCCAGCUCUGGAGCGGGCUUCUCUUCUUACAAAUUUGUGGUCUGAUUCUCCGAUGUUACCCUCCGCGCACCACCUUUUUUAAUCCUUUCUCAUUUUUUUCCUUUUUUUUCUUUUCUUUUCGUCUUUUUACUGUUUUCUUUUUUUUCUUGUUUUGUUUCUGUUCUUGCUUUUCUUUUGCCCCGGAAGCCCUGGCUGCUUCCAUAUUGUUCGCCUAGUUCACUUAUCAAUGAAUGAAACAGGUAGCUAGUCUACCUCUUUCUCAAAAAAAAAAAAAAAACUAUCUGAUGUAACACGGAGAUUAUUACUGGAAACGGGUCCUAAUUAGUAUCUCGUACUUGUAGUAAAAACACAAAAAUUAGAUGUUAAUUUUAGGAAUUUGCUUGUAAUAGUUUAGUUUAGAAUAAUUAAUACAAGGCUAGUAGGUUGAAAUAUUUUUCCAAAUUUUCCAAUGUUGGGCACACGAAAUAUUGAAAUUUUGGCAUCUAAUUUAGUCAAAUUGAGGGGUAUUGACUCAAAAAUUAAUGAAGGUUUUGCCUAAUCUUAUCUAUGCAUGAUAGUAGAGCUAGCAUGAUAAUGGGGCUUACGCUGUGUUUAAUUUGGANUAAAAAAAAAAAAAAAGUAAUAAUAAUAUAGAGAAUUAUACUUUAAAAUAAUUUUAAUAUACAUGAUUUAAAUAGACAAUAAAUAGAAAAAAGCAAUGAAUGCCAAGAAAGUAAACUAAGGAAAAAAAAGAGGAAGAUACAAUAUGUGGAGUAAACAUCAUAGCCACAAUUGUUCAAAGCAUUUUUAUAAUUAUCUCACUAAAAAGAUUCGCACAUGAAGAACAUAAUAAACAACAACUUUUAUUGUACUUUUAUAUAUAUACUAGUGAAAUAACCCGCGCGAUGCAACGAGUAAAUAAUAAUAAAAAAAUUAUAGAAGAAAUAAAAAUAUAGAAAUAUAAAUAUUUCAUGAUUGUUAAGAAUGGGACAGACAGCGAUGGCAGCAUACGCCAUCCUUUUUGAGGAUGCAUGAGGAACAACGGAUGAGGGCCGAAGGGCUCCGAGUAGCAAGCAAGAGGAAAAGGAGGAGAGAAAAAGAAAUUCCAAAAUCAUGGGGGGAGAGAUAUAAAACCUUCAAUCCAAACCGCUCUGUAGAUGAGAUGAGGGAAAAGAGGGAUGCCACUAUCGGUUUGGAAAAUAAAAAAAAGUAAGAAUUUGGGAAAUAAAAAAAAGUAAGAGAUAUGAGAAAAAAAAAAAGAGAGAGAGAGAAAGAAAGUUAAAUGAUGUGGAUAUAAAGGGGAUGAAGGAUUUUACUCAGAUAAAAAAGAAUAGAGAAAAAUUUAAAAUAAAUAGUGGGUCCCACCGUCCUCAAAUUAAGGUGGUGCAUCCACGUUGGAUUUCACCAUGAGAAAUCAUGUAUUGGUAUAGAUAGAUAUGUAUGUAUAUAUAUAUAUAUAUAUAUAUAUAUAUAUAUAUAUAUAUAUAUAUAGAAUUUGAUACUUACUAUCAAUAGCUACAAGCCUUUGAUACUAUGAGUUUUCGGCGUGGAUGAAUAAUGCGUGGUAGGGAUGAUAGUAGUCCACGGAUUAAAUGAUAGUGGUCCCACUAGCGGUUGAGUGACGGUGGUUGGUUUAAUUGUAUAAUCUAAUGGGUAGAAAUAAUCAAAGGGUAGAUCUAACGGGUAGAAAAACUCAAUAGUAUAAAGGGUUUGUACUAUCGAUAGUAUAGUAGCCGGAUUAUAUAUAUAUAUAUAUAUAUAUAUAUAUAUAUAUAUUCCUCUAAAUAGAGAGAGAGAGAUUUGGAGAGGGGUGGAAGUCGACAACACCGAUGCCAUCGCCGGCCUUAUCAACAACGUGUAUGAUGUAAUGGAGGGGGGUCAAAGGGCAUCAUCGAUUAUGCUUAUGGCAUUCGGAAAGCAAAUAGUACACGUUUUAAACUUUGGGAAAGAAGAAGGUGAAUUGGAAGGAUGCCUUAUGAAAAGGCAUGGCAUUCUCGUUUUCCCCACUAUUACUCUAUUAAAUAAAAAAGUGAGGAGAUUAUUCUAUUAAAUGGAAAGAUAAAUGCCAUUACUCUAUUUAAAUGGAAAGGUGAGGAGAUUAUUAGAUUAAAUGAAAAUGAAAAUGGAAGAUGAAAAGAUUAGUCUAUUAAAUGAGAAAGUAAAUGGGAAGAUGAAGAGACGACAUUGGGAGAUAAAUCGGAUAUAUGAGAGGAAGUAUCUAGUAGAAGUGGACCUAAUAUUCAAUAGAAAGGAUGGAGGAAGUGAUAAUAACGCUGGUAGUUAGGUAGGCCCAAAUUCAACAGAAUUCUGCCACGUCGGAUAGAAGCCACGGGAAUUAAUAGUUUUGUAUAGUUAAUGCUCAUAAAUUCUGUUAAAAAGUAUUGAUCAUUAAUUAUCUCAAAACCAAUCAUAAUUUACCUAUUCACUUGUAUAUAUAUAUAUAUAGGACAUUAGUAUAUUAGUAUAUAAUAUUAUAUUUAAUAUUUAAUAGUAUCGAUUCCUUAAAAUUAAAAUAGAAACACAAAUUACUUAUGUACUUUGGGAGCAUUUGCAACUAACUUUAAUAAUGAGAUAUAUUAGAAUUUAAGGUAGAUUCCAGAUGUUAACGAUUCAGCUUUGAAGUCAACACUGAGAUCUAAACUCUUAUUAGUACAAUACUUUAUUAUCUUUUAUUCGGAACCUAUACACAUCCUUAUAAUACUGCUACAAAUUAAUUAACAUUAUUAUCUAACUAAUCGUAAUUAUUAUUAUUUUUAUUAUUUUAUAAUUUUAUUAUAAUAUUAAUUACGGAAUGGCGGAGCUUACGUGGCACCGCCAAAACAGAAGAUGAGAGUUUCACGCGACGCAGCACGUGUUACGGUCUUAUCACCGUCCGUUCUUCAACGUAUGAUCUUAACCGUGAGUCCCUGUGCUCCGGAGCUACUUGUUUGCUCGAGAUAUUAUUUUGUGCACCUGGUCCAUAAAGUUUUUAAGCUAGAGCGUUACAUAUUUAUUAAUAUUUAAAAUAAUAAUCAUAGUUAUAACUGCCACCAAAAAAAGUAUUCAUAUUUAGAUUUGAAAGUAUAAGAGUAAGUACAAUUGAAUAUAUAAUCCGAGCCUGGUCCUCAAUCUCAAAUGUAUCAAUCUAAAAUUAAAAUUUAAUUCAUUAUAUAUCAUUCUAUUGAAUAGUAAAAUUUUAUAUAUUAAAAAUUAUAAACUACGAUAUUUAUUUCUUUUGAAUUAAAUAAAAUAUAUUGUUGGCUUUUAUAAUUUAUUUGAUUUGAUACCUGCUUAAUAAUAUUUUUUAAUAUUUUUUUUUAUAUAUAGGUCUUUUGAAUAUGAUUAUUUAUAUUUAUCGUCUGAACGCUUUAAUUUUUUUAAAACAUUAAUCACGAAAAAUUGAGCAUGGUGUACGAGAUGUAUGGAUACACCCGGUUCAGGCAAGUUCUUGGCAGCUAGGGAAGAGGGCGAUGGCAUAUUCGUGAUUAAUGGGGAAAGUAAGACUCUUUUUUUAAGAGCCCAGUGCAAAAUAUCAUUCGAAUCUGCUUCUCACGCUAAUCUCCCUCCCCUCCUCGCCCACCAUUCUGUUUCUGCUCUCCCUCUCUGGUGCAACACGACACCGUGGGUGGGCCCCAAUCGCUAUCUCCAUGCACCUCUCGCCCCACACGUGUCACCCCCCGACCCCUCAACGAUCACACUCCUCGCGCAUUGUGUGACCCCUCUCUCUCUCUCUCUCUCUAAUAACUCGAAUACGCUGGCGCGCGCACACUCUCUCUGUUAGAUCGAGAACGAGAACGAACCUCGUCGAUAUCGCACUCGUCUCCUCUCCUCUCCUCCGUCCAAAACCCUAGGGAUCGGACGAGGCGGAGGUCGCCGCGAUCUCCAUAGAUGUCGUUUGCGCUCUCCGGGAUCCGCUUCCCCGCCGCCGUGCGAGGCACGGGGCUCGCAGCUCGAUCCGGGGCCAAUGGCGAUCGGAGGAGCGGGGUCGAUCUCUCGCUGAUGCUGCUGAGGAAGGAGACUUUUAAACCGCGUAAGCUCUCUCAAUCCGUGCCUCCUUCGUGAUAGCGCGCUGUGGUUUCUCCUCUCCGUUCUCUUCUAAAGGAUCGGGAGGCGAAUGCUUUAUCUUAGCAACGAUCCUCUAAGCGAGAGUUUUGUUGUUGGUCGUGAUUUUGCUAUUCGUCGCGCUCUUCCUCUCUCUGUAGGUCCUGAUUUAUGAUUAUGGUGAUCUCGGUAGGGGUGUUGCUUUGCUCUCUGAACGCAGCUUGUUGUGCUUAGAUUUUGUAGUGCGAGAUGUCGAUAUGACAGUACAGAGUGGAAAGUGGUUGAAGAAGAUGAAGAGAAUUGUGGCGGUGGAUUUGGAUGUGUUUUGUUUCUUCAGGUUUUGCUUCCCUCGAUCUGUUUACUGUGUUGGCAAUUUGAAAUUUUGAACACAGGGACGCUUUGUUGUUGUGAAGAUAAGAGGUCGUGCAGUGGUGAAUUUAACUGCUUGAGAACUCCUUACUGUCGAGGCUUGAUUGAGCUGAGUUGCCUCCACAAAGCCAUAAUGCUACAGUUAUGCUGUGGAAUUAAAAUGCUAUUGCAGAAAUGUGGUCAUUUUUCCUUUAGCUGGAGAGUGAAUCCAAAUAUAGACUAACCAUGUUCCUUUUGAGAACACCCAUAUCUCAAUUAAUUCGUUUGUAGAUGCACUUACAUAAUUCUGUUUGCAUAUAUUCCUAUCUCGAUUUUCAUCGGUAUGAGCGUAAAGUUUCCAAUUGUUUACUGCUUGUUUGUCCUUUCUUUAGGGAGCAUUUUUGGUGGAAGUUCUAUUGAUUGCCUUUCUUCAUCUGUGACUGUUGCUGCAUCUGGAAAGGUGCUGAUUCCAGGCGGCCAAAGUGACGGCUUAUCAUCUUCUGCAGAUUCAGUUGCAGAUGAACAAGCAUCUGAUGAUUUGCAGGUACAAGCUAGCAAUGUAACUAUAUUUGUUUUGGAUUUCUGAUUUUAUGAAGGGCAGGUCUUGCCUAGUUAACUAGCGUACAGGCGACUCUGUUCUUCUUUUUCAGAUAUCACUCCAAAGUACUAUACAUAUAUCCUUUCCUCAUAUAGCUUCUCAGAGGCUUUUAACUGUCAAGAAAUUUGUGUACUCUCAAGCAAGUGUGUUUUUGUUUUACGAUAUCCUUUCCCAUGACUGGCUUAUAUUUGUUGCUUAGGUAUUACAGGAGGAACCUGUUGACACUGUGGAAGUCAUGUAUGAGGGAAGCAUGAAGGAAGGAGGCAAAGAGAGUGUUACUUCUCAAGCCAAGAACAGUGUUGAGGUAGUAGAGGAGAAGCCAAGAUCUAUUCCACCACCCGGUAACGGACAAAGAAUCUAUGAUAUCGAUCCAUUAUUGCGAGGUCACCAUGCACAUCUCGAUUAUCGGUAGGUUGCUUGUUGCUCGAAUGUUUUCGAUACAACAGCCUAUUUCUGCAUGAUAAAGAGAUUAUUCUCAAACUAUGUGGAUAAAUUGAUUGAAGUAAAGAGAGCUAAAGGUACUGCUUGAUGAGUGCAAAAUAAGAACCAACUAAAGUAAUAUUGGGACUCCUGCUCCCAUGUACCAAAGUACAUAAGUUCAUCAAAGUAAGCAAGGCCGCAAACUAACUAGGAAAGUCGAAGUUUAAAAAUUAAAAAAAUUGGAGAUAGACACUUGUAAGCACAAAAAUGUAAGAGAUCGUUCUUUGUAAAUAAUAUAGUUCUUAGGAUGAAAUUAGUUGUAUGAAUCGUGCAGUAUAUUACUUGAUGUAAUGUAGCCGAGUGAUUGUAUAAUGUAUAGAGGUAAGUAUGAGUAAUAUAGUUUAAGGCCAUAAAAUUGUAUGUUCCCCAAUUUGUGUUGUAUGAAGAGAUAAAUUUGCUAAAACAUAUAAAGUGCAGACUAACUUGUUUUCUACUUCCCCAAUUAAUACUCUUCUCUUUCAUUAGCACAUUUUACAUUGUUAAGAAAAUUUGAUGUCAAUUGUAUGUUUACUGGUUACAAACAGAUACAGUCAAUACAGGAAAAUGCGUGCGCUCAUUGAUCAAAAUGAAGGUGGCUUGGAACUUUUUUCUCGUGGUUAUGAAAAUUUUGGUUUUCACCGCAGGUUAGCUUUCUUUUCUUUCUCUGCAUUGCGACAUGUCAUUUAAUCUUCCUUUUGAAUAAGUUGCUGUAAUCCAUGAACCUGUUCUUAGGUUCUCAUCACUAAUAGUAGUAGAAUCUAUUGUCGAAAGACAGUUUGAAGCCUUCUUUAACUCUAUCAAUAGAAAUAUUUGGCGGACAUGCUGAAAAUCUCUUAGAUUCAGCACCUGUCAUUCAGUCUUAUGAAGAACUGAUCCUUUACAGAAAAUAAUAUGCAUGCUUUCUUGCAUAUCCUGACCUUACACGUCCAUGUUACUUUUUAAUUUGUCAAUUUUAUUCUAUAAUUGAUCAUAGAUAAAACAGAUAAGAGUUUCUUGCAAGGAAACUAUGAAGAAGCAUUAGCUAAUUUUUUAACAUCCAAAUUUUCUUGCCUGAAUGUGUUGUACUGAAUUGCAUGAUAUUGGUUUUUUGUUGCUAAUUCAUUAAUAUACGUUAUCUAAUCAUGUUUCUUUUUUAAUUAGAUUUGAGCCAUCGGGCAUGAUGAUUUCAUUUAUUAUUAGUAACAGUGAAUUCUUGGUAUACACCAUAUAAAAUGUUUAGUAGUUGUUUGAUGCUUGUAAGAAGCAUGUAACUCCACUUAUUUUACUUAUUUAUUUUUUCGCCAGUGCGGAUGGUAUUGUGUAUCGAGAAUGGGCUCCUGGAGCAAAGGUGUGUUCUUUUCAUAAUUCACUGAUAAAGAUUGGUUGGAUGACUUAUACAUGACCUCUCAUUUCCGCAGUUUACUUUCUUAUUGUAGUUUGAAUAGGUUGUUUUAGCUCUAUAUCUUUUCAUGCCUCAUGAUGUUUAUGUUACAAUGAGCUAUAUGUUGCCUUAGAUUUCCUACAUAAGCCAGCUGCUUGGACUAACCAUUUUAUUCUGUUUUCAGGCUGCAGCAUUAAUAGGAGAUUUUAACAACUGGAAUCCAAAUGCAGACGUUAUGACCCGAGUAUGUCGUUCUAGCUUGGAUGUAUUUGUCUAUGCUUUCUUUAUGUCAGCUGUAGAUUAAUCUAUUACUUGUUUUACUGAACUUAUCCAUAGUAAAUAGGUUUUCAGUUCUUGCUUAUAUGGCUGAGCCACUGCAUUUUUCUGUAUAUUGAAUAGGCUGAGAAAAUAAAUUUCUAAGACGACCUUCAGAAACUGUAAAAUGUGCAAAUAUAAACCUUCAAAAAGCUCUGAAGGUGCUUAUUUUCUCAUCUGGAGCAUUGAGAGUUACUUACUACCUUCAUAAUUGGAUGUCAUUCUCUAAAAAUAAAGUAUUUUUCGUCUUUAAUGUAACUCGCAUUGCUGACUAACUUGCAUCUCAUCAGCAUCAGCAUCUUCAAAUACCUAAUAAUUAUUAUUUUCAGAAUGAGUUUGGUGUGUGGGAGAUUUUUCUGCCUAACAAUGCUGAUGGCUCGCCACCUAUUCCUCAUGGCUCACGUGUAAAGGUACUUUCUCUCAUGGAAUUUAAAUGUAUUUGCAGUGAUUAGCAAAUAUCAUGAUGCACACACAGUUGUGUUGGCAAUCACGUGUACUUUAUAUAUUGAAACCAUAAAAAAUGUGUUUUUAUUUGUUGGCAUAUAUUGCAGAUAUUCUAACCCAUGUAUAACUCUCACUUAGAUACACAUGGAUACUCCAUCUGGUGUCAAAGAUUCAAUUCCUGCAUGGAUAAAGUUUUCUGUACAGGCUCCAGGUGAAAUACCGUAUAAUGGGAUUUAUUAUGAUCCUCCUGAGGAGGUAAUCUUACUAUAUCUUUCCUGCAAUUUUUUAAGGAGAAAAAAAUUGUUGAUGUGAUUGCGCAUUAGUAUUGCUACUAUAGGUUAAUACAUACUCAUUUUCUGCUACAUUACAUCUCUCUUCCAAAUGUAAACUUGUGCUAAGGUGUUUUGGUUGAUUCUGCAGGAAAAGUAUGUAUUUCAACACCCUCAACCCAAGGCUCCAAAGUCAUUGCGAAUUUAUGAAUCUCACGUUGGAAUGAGUAGUCCGGUAUUGCAGUCUUUCCUUUCGAUUCUCAAUGAUAAUUUGCAGAAAUCAUUUCCUUCUUUUGUUGAGAACUGUGAUGAUUUUACUUGUUUUAGUCCUUCUGCGCUUCUUUACACUGUUUGAAAGGCUACAUAAAUGAAUCAUAAAGUUCUACCUGUGUUAUUUUACUAUGUCUUCUAAUAGUGCUAACUUGAGAAAAUUUUGUUCAUUCAAACUUUUUUCUCCUCUAUCUAUUCUUUUGCACAAAUAAAAUACAAACCAAGGAUUUAACUACUGUAGGACGUCAUCGUGCGGAAAACUUGCUGACACGGUAUGACAUGGUGCAUGUCGUAUUGUGCCGAUGCAUGCCGGUCACAGAAAAUACACGUGUGCCGACACAAUGGCAUGAAAUAUUUAUUUUCUUUGGCAUCAAUAUAUUCUAAUUGCUUAUUUAUAUAUCUUUAUCAAAUCUUUUGCAAUUUAUUGAGAUAACAACUUGCUAACUUUUUUAAAAAAAGAGGGUUUUUUGCUAUGCCAUCUGCAUAGGGACUAUAUUGUGUCGAUAUCUUGCUGACAUGGUACGGCACGAUGGCAUGGCCCGUGGCAAUGGGCACUUGAAUCCUUGAUGCAAAUGUUGCCAAAGUUAGCUAAACAAAUCUCAUUAUUGUGCAAAUUCCUUGUUUUUUCCUAAUACUAUUUUCCUAUAACAUGAUUACAUGUCUAGAUUUCAGGAGUUGUCUUUACUGCUCGUUAUGUGUUUACUGCUAGUUAUCUAAUCUACAGUCUAAAUUGCAGGAGCCCAAGAUCAACACAUAUGCUAGCUUUAGGGAUGAUGUACUACCUCGAAUUAAAAAGCUUGGAUACAAUGCUGUACAGAUAAUGGCAAUUCAAGAGCAUUCAUACUAUGCGAGCUUUGGGUAAUUUCAGUUCUCCAUCUUUCUUUUGUUGUUGUGUUGUUUCUUUGGCUUUUGGAUUGGUGCUUAAAUGCAGAAGACAGUAAUUAUCACAUCUUCUCAUGUUUACGUUGGUCUAUAACUGCAAUUUCAUGCCUAGCUGAUGCAUGUAAUGUCUUAUCUAGGGGCGGAACUCGAUCAUCUUCCUUUUUACUUUUCUCCCUGGAUCCUCUUUCAGUUUGAUUACCCUGGAUAGAGGCACUUAGUUUUUGGCAAAUAUUUAGCUAGUUUGCCCUGGAUAAAAUAUCGGCCUUAUACUUCUUGUUGAUUAAUUGCUAUAGAUACUGGAGAAUCAGCUUAUGUUUUGUCUGGUUGUCAGACAUGGGAAUCAUAUGCUAAUAAAAUUCCAUUAAAUGUCUUGUUGACCUAUUUCAGUGGCGUAAGAUAGGACAGCUAUUUGAUUGUCUAACUCUAAAUUGGUAAAAUUUCUGUCCUUUUGUAAUAUUUCCGCAUUAUAACUCGGGCAAUGAAUAGUUGUUUUAGACUGUAUAGCAAAGCAGAAAACAGCCCAUUCAGAUGUACUUCAUCACCCAGAUUAACUUUAAAUGAAUGAAACUGAAUUUUGUAGUGUUUCUCUCCUUGGCAAUAUUUUUGUCUUUCCUGAAUGAUGUAAAUGUUGGAUUGUUAGUCUCAAAAUUUCUUUUCACUUUUGGCAUACCCUAUAUUUGAUUCUUUCUUCAUUUUUCCUAAAGAUGUCUACAAUUUGAUUUAUAUUUGCAGGUAUCAUGUUACUAAUUUUUUUGCACCAAGUAGUCGAUUUGGAACUCCAGAUGAUCUCAAGUCCUUGAUCGACAAAGCUCAUGAGCUGGGUCUACUUGUUCUCAUGGAUAUUGUCCACAGGUUGAAAAUUAAGAUUCUUGAAGCUGAAUCAUUUCCAUGCAUAUACACUAAUGAUAGCAUUGAAUCUCACCUUUGGCCUUCUGUUCUCUGCAUACAGUCAUGCAUCAAACAAUGUCCUAGAUGGCCUAAAUCAGUUUGAUGGAACAGAUACACAUUACUUCCAUGCGGGUUCACGCGGUUAUCAUUGGAUGUGGGAUUCUCGCCUUUUUAACUACGGUAGUUGGGAGGUAAUGAACAAAUUUACAUUUUCUUGGCUCGGUAUCUCAAUUCAUUUUGGUCAUUUUUUCUGUUGUGUAUCUGCUAAUCUAUUCCUUCCUUUGUAUAGGUAGUAAGAUUUUUACUUUCAAAUGCAAGAUGGUGGCUUGAGGAGUACAAGUUUGAUGGCUUCCGUUUCGAUGGUGUGACAUCAAUGAUGUAUACUCACCAUGGCUUACAAGUAAGGGAGAGCCUCUAAUGCUUGAUUCUUUUGAGCCCUUCUUGGUUUGGUGGUGAUAAUUACAGUAUGUCUAUAUAUGCUUUAUUAAGAGAACUAGCCACCAGUAGGAUUGUACUUCCCUAAGUAAAACUAUACAUGCUAUACAAUUACUAGGUUUUCUGAUCACACAAUAUAUAGUUUAAGCAUUCUGGUAGGCCAAAUGGAAUGGCCCUAUCAUGCUGCAAAAAGGAUUUAAUUACACAGAUUUGGCUGUUGGCAGUUGCCACCACCAAACAUGUACACAGUAACACAAGACAGAUGCCUGUGUUGGACGUUUAGAAUGAGCUAAUUUAUUCCCCUUAUCUGCUUUCUUCCAGGUGUCGUUCACUGGGAACUACAAUGAAUACUUUGGUUUUGCCACCGAUGUAGAUGCAGUUGUCUAUUUGAUGCUGGUGAAUGAUCUUAUUCAUGGACUUUUUCCUGAGGCUGUGAUUAUUGGUGAAGAUGUAAGUGCCCAAAAAAUUGGAGUGAUUAUUACACCUCUAUCUUUAUCAUGUAUCAAAUCUUUGCUAUUGCAUGAACUUGCCCUUGUAAUUGUUACAUUGUGCUACCAUUUUUACAGGUUAGUGGAAUGCCAACAUUUUGCCUUCCUGUUCAAGAUGGUGGUGUAGGUUUUGACUACCGCCUUCACAUGGCUGUACCUGACAAGUGGAUUGAACUUCUUCAGUAAGUACUUGAAAUAUCUAACCUUACUGGUUCAGAGCUUUGCUAUUGUUCACUUUUGUUGCCUUUGAUGGAGAAAUAUAUAAGAAUGGAAACGCACAUGCCUAUAAUAUCUAUUUAUUCUUUUUUUUAUUGAAAAGCUUAUCAUAGGGACUUAAAAGAUCAUCAUGGUGUUCCAUAGAAAAGAAAGAAUCAUAUUUAUUCUUACCAAAAUGCUUUCUCCCUGAAAUGGUUAGCUAUGAAAAAUUCUUUUGUACAGUCAGCGUGUUAAAAAUUUCUUUAUUCAGGAAGGCUUAUAAGUGAUAUUCAAAGCUCUUUCUCUUAAUGUUUGGCACAGAUUGAAGGACGAAGAUUGGAAGAUGGGCGACAUUGUCCACACACUUAUAAACAGGCGGUGGUCAGAGAAAUGUGUUGCUUAUGCUGAAAGUCAUGAUCAAGCUCUAGUUGGCGAUAAGACAAUUGCAUUCUGGCUUAUGGACAAGGUGUUUAAAUUUCUGUUUUAUAUUUUCAAAAAUUUAAUCUUCUACAGCAAUAUAUGAUGUGCAAAUUGCAGGUACCUAGACGGGGACUCUUGUUGCUUCUUUAUGAAAUGCUACAUAACUGACUGCUGACAACCUAUAGUUUCAUUUAGGACUUUAGAGUCACUUACUAUUCAGGUUAAUCAUAAUUGUUUGUUUUUAAGAAACUUCUCUUUCCUUCCUUCUAACUGCCUCUAAGAGGUUUGAGUAGCUUUCUUUUACUUUUUAUUUUUGAAAUCAUACUAUUAUGUUUCCUACUUCUUUCUUGAUGUAGUUCUUUUUCUUUGAAAUUUGGUGAUUAAAGCAGGUUGUCUCAUUUAUUAAAGCUUUUGUUACUCUUCCAGGACAUGUAUGAUUUCAUGGCUCUGGAUAGACCGUCAACUCCACGUAUUGAUCGUGGAAUUGCUUUACAUAAAAUGAUUAGACUAAUAACUAUGGGUUUGGGUGGAGAAGGAUAUCUGAAUUUUAUGGGAAAUGAGUUUGGGCAUCCAGGUUAGUAAAUUUAUUUUAUUCAUCGGAUAUGUGAACUGUAUAUCAAUCGUGUGAUUAUCUUCAAUAAGCAUCUUACAAAUUAAAGAAAUUUAUUGAUUUACUUAAUUCUCUGUCGUUGUUUUUCUGUCUGACAGAAUGGAUAGACUUUCCUAGAGGCGUACAGCAUCUUCCCAGUGGCAAAGUGAUACCGGGGAACAAUUAUAGUUUUGAUAAAUGCCGUCGUCGAUUUGAUCUUGUAAAGUUUGAAUUUGCAACUCCUUUUAAAAAAAACUUGAACUGCAACCUACUUUUCUCACUAUAAUAGCGACAAGUAACAUUAGAGCACAAAGAUGAAACACAGUAUUAUUGAAUGGAAUGUUAGUGUCAUCUGAUGUUCUCUACAACUUCAUAGCACCGGCCACGUUAGUAUCACCGGUUGUAAAAUCUUUGUGAAAAUCACUUGUCCAAGUUUACCCUAGUUUUUGUGCAACACACACACGCUGACCAAAAGAAAAAGAAACACCUUACUAUGAAAUCCUCAAAGAAAGUUAUAGAGGGCUAGAUUUUUAUGUUCCUUCGUAAGGUAUAAAAUUUGAACUAAAGGUUACUGUGUCUUCUUUUGACUAGGGUAGAAGAUGAUUAGUUGGGUUCGUUUUAGUUUUUCUUAGCUGUCUUUUUCUUUAACAAUUCUCCUUGUGAAAAUAAUUUUCUUGCUUAGUGGCUUUUUCAGUGGAUGGAAGUUUUACCUUUGAGCAUGUGCUUCUUAUCCAAACAAAAAGCAGUUAUAUCCCAUUUUUAAUUUUAAUUAACUAUGCAGGGUGAUGCAGAUUAUCUUAGAUAUCGUGGAAUGCAAGAAUUUGAUCGGGCAAUGCAACAUCUUGAGGAAAAAUAUGGAGUAUGUAUUGCUUUUUAUUGUACAUAUGUUACCUAUGGAUGCUAGAUCUUGAUCUUUUACUUACUAGGGAAUUUGUUCAUUUGCACUGCUGCAAUUUUUCUUUUUUCUUGAAUGAUCUGCUGCAAAUUUUAAGUGCUUUUUAAUGUUGCCCUAAGUUAUCUGGUCUGGAUAUGCAAUGUGGAUGCUAAGUGUUGAAAAGGACCAUGUAAUUGCAGUUCAUGACUUCGGAGCACCAGUAUAUAUCGCGGAAAGAUGAAGGCGAUAGGAUCAUUAUCUUUGAGCGGGGAGAUUUGGUCUUUGUUUUCAAUUUCCAUUGGAGCAAUAGUUAUUUUGACUACCGAGUUGGUUGCUUAAAGCCUGGAAAAUAUAAGGUAUGCAUUUUUCUCCAGUUUUUUUUUGCAAGUCAAGUUUGAUUUUCUAAUGAAUAGAAAGGUCUUGCAUCUGUAACUUUUGUAUUGCCUUAUCGCAGUAGCAAACUCAUAAUUAUAAUAUGAAAUUUACAUGUUUAACAUGAUUUAUGUCAAUAAUUUACUUGCAUGUUCCACCAGUGUUUAGUUUUCUUACAAUUUUCAUUUGAGUUGGGGAUAUAGAGUUUGAGUAGCGUUAACAUUUUCGUGGAAUAAGUCUGACUGUUUCUGUUAUUCUUUUAGGUAAAGAGUAAAACUGCAAAUAAUCUAGUAUUGGAUGUAUUACUAUUUAGUACUAACCAAAUCCCAUUAUUGAAGUACCGAUUGUUAGGAUUAGAGCAACGUUAACUCCUCCAUACUCACCCCAUUAACAUGAUCCUUUCCUGUUUGUACUACAAGGCUAAUCGAAUCUGGAAACGUGGUGCUAUGUUUUUACGUUAAACCUCUAUUCUCCGUAUGUUAGUAAACUUUCUACUCAAUGUUAGCAUAACUUAAUGCACUAUUUUCUUUUCUUAUUUAAGGUGGUUCUCGACUCUGAUGAUAAGUUAUUUGGUGGAUUCGGUCGCAUUGAUCACAAUGCUGAUUACUUCAGCAGUGUAAGGCUCUGAUAACAUAGCCGACCAUUCCUUUUUGUGCACUAUGAAUUUUACUUCAUACAAGCAAAAGAAAUAACUUAUGAUCUUUCGACGCUUCACAGGAAGGAACAUAUGACAACAGGCCUCGGUCAUUCUCGGUGUACGCUCCCAGUAGAACUGCUGUAGUGUAUGCUCUUUCAGAGGAUUGAAUUAAGAACACAAGGUAAUCAUAUGGUUUAUCUCAAAGUGCCUGUGGGUUCGACAGAGUUCACACCUUGGGUGAUCCAUUUGAGGUAUUUCUACAAUGUAAGGUACAGCACCAUCGAGUACUCGGCUCUUUCCGGCGAGACAUAAUCCGUGUACAGAUUAAAAUCUUUAAGCUCUAAUCGAAGGUACUGUAAUAAAAAUUAGCUCGUUCAGCAGCUGAUAGAUAUUUCCAAUGCUUUUCAGUUAUGAAGUUUUUCCCCCCUGUUCAUAUUUUUUGUUUUAGUUGUAGUAUUUUUUAUAUAACCUAUGCUGAACCAUUAUUAAAGAUCUGCGGUCACGGUAUUUCUCUCCACCGUAACAAAAUGCUAUACGUUAACAGGCACCAGAAGUUAACUAACCUAUAGCUGCUUAUUCUCAGAUUAUCAUUCCCAGCAUCAGAGUUUCGCAACAAUGAUCGAGUAUGAUAAUUUUAUUAUGCAUGAUCAUUCACGUGGCUUACUUAGAUGUGUGUACUUAAAAAGUGUCUGUUCUUUAUGAGGGAGUUGUUUUCAUAGAUUUGUUUUCAUAGCUGCCUAUGUUUAAUUCUGUUGUGGGAGCUAAUUCUGUACUGAAACACCGCAUCUUUCCUGAAAGAGAGGAGGAUUGGUUUCCAAGGCAAAUCAUGGUAUAAAUAAACAGUGAUAAAAUGUCUUUGACGGGUCUCUGCAGUUGCAGAAAAACGAAAAUCUAUAUACAUCUAAUUAGGGGGAAUUUUUAAACCCCGCGGUCAUGUUUGCAAUUUUCUCACAACUCCUAGCCUAAUAUUAUUAUAUGAGAUGGAAUUGGUUGCAUGUAUGAAAGAUAUCAUCACUGCGAAGCGCCUCUUCGGAUACCUCAUCUAAAUAAGAUGAAGAGGAAUAGAAUUUGAAAUUUAUCAAUGAUCCAGCCGUUGUAAAUUGCUCGUGGCUGGUAAUAAUGUUCCGCCUAAGUUUCUUCAUCAAAAUUACUCGCAACAAUAAUCACCACCACUAAUUAAUUAUUUGGGUGGCAAUGGUCGCUACGGCAGGUAACGAUACCCAUGCCCUUACACUUGGGUUUAGACAAAUAACGUUUCGCCGUUGGUGCGCGACUGUUGGGAUCUUGAGGAAUGGAACCUUCAGCUUCCGGUAGAUGGAAUAUUUGCUUUUCUCUUUUUUUUUUUUUUUUUUCUGAUAAACUUCAAAUACCACUUCUCUAAUUUUGCACUUUCUUACUUUAUUACUUUAUGAUUUAAAGUGCAUCAAUUUAGUAUCUUGUGAUUUCAUUUUUUUUCUUUUCGUCAACUCCAUUAAUAUUUCGUUAAAUCAUGUACAGAAAAUUUCAGAUACGUCAUUUAGGUUUAUCGGAUAUUCACUUUGGUACCCUUCAGUUCUAACUUUGUUAGUAAUUUAAUAAAAAAAAAUUUAAUAAAGAAAAUAAUAAUAAUAAUAAAAUCAUAAAGUACCAAAUUGAUGUACUUUAAAUUACAUAAUAAUAAAAUGAGAAAGUGCCAUUAUUUGAAGUUUAGUUAUUCUAUUUAAAUUUAGAAGCGUCCUUGUCAUUUCUUCAAUAUUAUCUUGAUGUAGUAGUAUUUAAUAAAGAGCGCAAGGUCACAUGUCCAUCCUAUAACUGGGAUGUAAAUGCUACACCAUAGCUUUCUUAUGGUUCUGCCUAGCUCACUCAUCCUGCCAUUUUUCCUUUUUUUUUUCUUUUUUUUUUUCCUUUUUAACUAAAAUUCUGAAGGAGUUUAUUUAAUCUUGGAUUAAGGGGGUAUGAUAUAUACUCUCUAUAAAGAGUGAAGAGGUAGCAUUUUUUUAAAAAAUAAAAUAGAAGACAAAUUUGUUAUUUAUUCUAUCGGAUAUUUUGUUAGAAAUAAUAGAGUCAAAUAAGAUUUUUUCCAGCAUUCAAGUCACCGACAUUACUUCUAACCCAAAUAGUGAUGUUAUCAAUUGGGCUAAUUGUGAUAUUAAUACACAAAUUCAUUGAAUUUGAUUUUUAUUUAUUAAUUAAUAAAUUUGGUCUGCAUCUACAAAAAAAAAAGAAGAGAAUCUAUUAAUAUAACCUUCGAAUCUAAAGAAAAUGAAUCUAUUAAUUGAUAUCAAUCACAUUCCUAAUCAUCAGUUCUGAUUCCAAAUUCAGAACUCACACAAACAUCUAAAAUCACCGAGUCUCUCCAUUCUUAAAAAAAAAAAGAAAAAGAAAAAACAAAUACAAAACAAAUACCUGCAAAAUUAGGAUAAUCUAAUAUACUGUUCAUCACCACUAGAAGAAGAGACAAAUCUAAACAGUAAUUAAAAAAAAAAAAGUAUCCCGAACUGUGCGUAAUAUCUUUAUCUUCAGUUCCCCCACUUGUAAGCAUGACUCCGCCCACUAUGAAAGCGGUUCGAAUCUUAAUAAAACUCUUCAUCUUCGUCUCCUCCUGCGACCCCCACCCACACAGAAUUUCCUGAAAAGGAAAAUCAAUCCAUCCAUCUCGGAAUCACUUUAACCCCUUUACUUGCCUUGCCAGCGAGAAAAUAUAGAAACAAAAUUUAAAAGGUUUUUAAAAAAGGAUUAAUCAAAGGUGAUAAGAAAAGGAGCGCAUUAAUAAAAGAUCACCUUAAAAUACUCAUUACAUCACAGAAAAAAAAUAAAACGUCGGUGAGAAUUCAGAAGCUAAGUCUCUCUUUAUUGACAAAGUGUAUAGAGUCAAAAUAAAUUAAUUAUAUUAUUUUUUAUUAAAAACAUAUAAUAAUUUUUUUUUUAUUAAUUCUGAUAAAAUGACGGAACAAUUUUAUUAACAAAAAAUAUCACAUCAGCAAUAUAAAUAUUGAAUUCUAUAUUUUUUUCCCCCUCCAUCACCCAUUCAUCCCAACCCCCACCCCCAUGCGCUCUCUCUCUCUCUCUCUCUCUCUCUCUCUCUCUCUCUCUCCACUGUUGGGGAAUUGGGAUCGGGACCUUCCGGUUUUGAAUCAAAUGGCGCUGUGAAUGCCCCCCUUAAUUCUCGCCCAUUCCGAUCGUCUAUAGCGCUAAAUUAGGGUUUCGUUUCUUCAGCAAGGAACCGGAGGCCAUGGGCGACUUCGGAGGUGAGCUUCGGAGGGUUUUGUUGCUCCUUUUUGGGUUGCUUUGACGAGGAGGAGGAGGAGGAGGAGGAGGAGUGAGGCGACGACGACGAAAGGGGAGAGGACGACGAUG
rnacentral:lncRNA from 1 species